UUUUUUUUUUUUUUUUUCCCUUAACCACGAGGUAUUCUGGGGAGGACACCAACUGUAAGAGGCACCUUUAAGUAUGUACCACAAUUCAAACUAAAAAUUCCCACUCGAACCAAGAGGCACGAGUUCUUCCAACAAAUGCGACUUCCAUGCUACUCGAACUGGGGAGCAAACUCAAUCAAAUCACUUAAUGAGACUCUAUUGCCAGUGGAGUCAACACUUUGUUGGUCAAUUUACGUUUCUUUAUAAUUUACUUCCAACAGACGUUUACAUCUUACCAAAUUUUUUGUUACAAUUAUAAAAUUUUUAGUUAUAUACUUGACUAAACAAUGUAUUAUAAUUUUAGUUUUUUCGUUACGCGGCUUAAAUUAUAAGCACGAGAAAAACGUAACUCGUAACCAAAAAUUCAAAAAAAAAUAUAACUACUAAAAGUUUAGUGAAAUGUAACGUCCGGAGCCAAAAUGCUUUUGGUCGCGGCAUGGAAAGAAAAAGAUACAACAUCUUGACUCUCGAGAGGUAAUUUUUGUUGUUUGAGGUUUAAAGCAUUUUGCAUGCCUUUGAUAAUGAAAACUUUUGAUGCCGCCGUCAAGGCACGUGGAUUGUGAUUUUGGUUAAUAUUCGGUGAAUAGAAAUUUAUGGAAUGAGAGUGAAGGGAAUCAACGUGGCGAAAUGACAGCUGACAAUUAAUUCAAGUGAACGAGAGCUUAGCUGAAUUAGCUGCAAAGUAUAUUAAUGUAACAGCACUAGACCCAAGCAGCACAGCAGUGUCAAUUCAAUUAUUAGGCUGACCAUAUGGCCAUGAACUCCACCUUUCCUAUCAAAAUCAAUGCGUAAAAAUCAUCAGAAAAAAAAAAAAAAAAUCUAGUAAUGCUGCUAAGGCCUAAAGCUCGAGCUUGUUGGCUGUUAGUAUUUUCCAGUGAACUGACUAAGCAUUGAUGGGUGACUAAAUUUCAACUUAAUCUGGAUGUUUAUAACAUCGGCCUCGUUGCCCUGAAUUUUUAUUUUUAAUCACGUCCUGUCACUUAUUUUACUUUUUAUACGCGGAUAUUAUUUAUUCACCUUUUUAAAUUCCGUGAAGGAACAAAUUUUCUAUGCAACAUAGUUUUCUGGUAAGUUUAAUUAACCUAGUUUCCUGGUUAGUUUAAUCGAAAUUUUGCUUUACUCAAAAUCACGCCAUAAACUACGUGACACACGUCACUAAUCUUUUCUGUUCGAAUGUUUCCGAAUAUGGGCUCCGUUAAGGAGGCCCAGCUGUUUCCGGACACGACCCAAUGGUCUUUGUUGCAAUUGUCUGAUUUCUGAAUUCUGAACCUCUCUUCAAACCCAAACCCUCUUUUGGGUUUUAUAAUCAUUUUGAAGAAUCAUGAUUCGAUGUCAUGUGCUAAUGCCUCAUCUUUGGAGCUAUUUAUUUUAAUAUUUAAGUUUCAUUUUGAGUUUUGAUUGAUGUGAAAUUCAUUCAUUACAUGGUUUUUAAGUAAUUUUACAAUUUACAAAAUCCGUCAUCCAAUAAAUAAAAGAUACAUGAUAUUGAAAUAUGACUCAAAUAUUAAAAUCUCUAAUAUUAAUGGUAUCCUUUUAAUCGGGAUUGCCUCGAGAAGAGAAAAGAAACACAUAUGCUAUUAUUAUAUAAUUGUCUAAUAAUUUUCUGAAUAGUUUCAACUGUUGAAGCAAUCAUAAAUUUCCCAAAAAUUCCUAAUGUGAUUGGUUAUUUGUAGAGCUUUGUUGCUUGAAUAACCCUAACUUGAAACUAUAAUAUCUCGUCAUUGGUUAGAGUCAAACCUAGAUUUUAAAGUCGAUUUGAAUUCUCUUCCAUUUAUUAGUUUAUACAUUUUAUUAUUAUUACUCAAUUUAAUAAUCAAUAGUCGACUUUAAAAAAAAGAAGAAGAAAAAUAUAGCAUUAUGGCCAAUAUUUUUAUAGCUAAAAAUUAUUUAGUGCAUACAAGUAACUUCUGAUUUUAUUUUUGUUUAUAGGUGUUGCACUUAACUACUUGAUCUCAAGAUAGCUAUAGUAAAAGGGUCUGGUCAAGGCCCACCCACUAAUUUUUUAUUUUAAAUUAAUUAUUUUGUUAUAUUAAAGAAGGUAAGUUCUAUUAACCUACUUCAUAUUUAUUAGUCAAUCUCACCGCCUCAAUAUAAAUUUGCAUGUGAUCUAAAAAUAUGUAAUUUUUUUUUUUAAAAUACAAACUUAUGUGGACAUUUGCACCGAUGAAGAUUCUAUAUAACAUUAUCUUUCAAAUAGAACUUAUCCAAGGAAGGGUUUUACUAAUAGAUUUUUUCCUAAUAGUUGUUAAUGACAACAUUUUUUUAAAUUUAUAAAAUUAUUUUAAUAGACAAGUUUUUAAAGUUACAGUUUGAAAUAAUGAAAUUUUAGACAAUUGAAGUUUUAAAAGACCUCUACUUCCAAAAAUCAAAAAUUUGAAUUUUUUUGUUAACAAAUGCAAAAUAACUUACUUAAUUUUUAAAAGUUCUAAUCAAAAUAAAAUAAAAAAACCACAAAAAUUUUAAAAGAGUUUUUAUAAUUAAAUAAAUACUUAUAACUAUUAGAUAAAUUAUAUUAACCAGUCACUUAUUUGUAUGGGUUUUCAAAAAAAAAAUUAUUAUAGUUAUUAUUAUGUUUUUUAUUUGUUUAAAAGAAAACAAGAACAUCUGAGCGUUUUUAUAAAAAGAAAAUGGAUUUCUUACACGAUGAGAAACGCUUGAAAUAAUUUAUCGACAAGGUUUUUCUCGAUAUUUCAAUUUUCUUUUUAUAAAAAAAUAUUUUAAUUAAUAAUUGGCCUCGUACGCCAAAAUAGAAAUCUGUUUCGUAAUAACACCAAUUUAACCAAUCAUAAUUUUUACUUUUUUAGCAAAAAAAAGAAGAAAGAAAAUUUACCCCGCCAAAAAAACCAAUUCGACGUACCUUGCACGCGAUAGUAACGGAAACAAAAGAUCAAAAUUGACUCAUCUAUAAUUAUAUAAAUACAAAUCUCUUUGAUAUUCAAGAAGCUCUCUGUUAUUGAUCAUUCUGUUCUCGUUUACUUUGACAAAAUGGAUUUUUCUUCUGCGAAAUCGUCUUUGAUUCGUUUCAGAGCUUCUGCCAAUUCAUUUUUGUCGCAGUACGAACCUGUCAUUCUGCUUCUUGCCCCGCUCCUCACUCUCCUCGUCGCGCGUGUACUUCAAUCGUUCCUUGACGCCGUUCGCGAGAAAGGAUUCAAGCAAACUUUCGUGGCGUUCUUCAUGAGCUCAAUCAAGUAAUUCAUCAUCACACUGAUUCAAUUUCUUCAUUAUUUUUAUAUUUGUUACUUCUAAAAAAAAAACUUCAACGAUAAAAUUUUAAUUCCAUUUUGUGCAUGGCAGGUUGGUUCCUGGUGUUAAUAAAUACAUUGAAGCGGAGAAACAGAAGGUUUCUUGAUUUUAUAUUUUUUAAUUAAUUGUUGUGAAUGCACUUUUUGUUUAAUUUAAUUUCUUUGUUGGUAGAAAUGUGCAGUUUGCGUGCUACAUGCUUUAUGAUUUUCUCAUUCUUGGUGGGGUGUUUUGAUUUCAGAUCAAACUUUUAUGACCUGCUGUCAUUUGAUUAUUGUCUUUAUCUGAAUGAAACCUACUAUAAAAUUGAGGGACUGAAUUCAACAGUCUGAUUAAAACUGAUUUGUGGAUAAUGUGCAUGGCUGAGUUUAACUUUUUUGAAUUCAAAACAAGCAGAACUUAAUUCUAAUUAUUACUUGAUGUUAGCUGGUCAAAUUCUUUGAUGCUAUCAGUCUCUAUUUUAAGGUGAUUUAUCAUUCACUAGAAAGUCAUGAAUGAUUAUGAUCCCCCCGUCCCACCNNNNNNNNNNNNNNNNNNNNNNNNNNNNNNNNNNNNNNNNNNNNNNNNNNNNNNNNNNNNNNNNNNNNNNNNNNNNNNNNNNNNNNNNNNNNNNNNNNNNNNNNNNNNNNNNNNNNNNNNNNNNNNNNNNNNNNNNNNNNNNNNNNNNNNNGGCGGGGUUUAUUUAAUUUUACUUUAUUAUGAUUCAUGACUCUAAUUCUGUGGCCUUUGGAGGUUAAUGCUUAUAUUUGAUCUAUGCUUUUCAUUUUUCAUUUCUUUUUUUUUUCUGUUUGUUUCUGAAUCUAGUAUUUUGAAUGGUGAAUAAAUCUAAUUUGUAAAUGUGUUUGUCAGGUUGUGGACAAGAUGCAGUCUGGUGUUAAAUCCAAAAGAGAGGGCUGGUGGACAGAGUUACCUAGGGCAGGGUUAGGAGUAGGAGUCGUAGAGAAACUGAAAGAGGAAAAGGGAAAAGAUGUUGUUUGGCAAGGAAAAUGUUCUGGUACAGUGUAUGUUUUUUUAACUAUUAGCAUGGUGACAGUUUAUUAGUUUAGACGUGUUCUCAUGCCCUAAUAAUGGACAUUAGAUUCUGCUUCAAUUAUGCUUGAGCUUGAUAUGCUCUGGUUGCUUUUAUUGCAGCUAUAUUGGAGGAAGUGAAGCUGAAGGACAUUUUUCCUUGAUCAAUGAGGCGUGUUCAAUGUUAGUAAGAUUCCAAUAUAUAUGAUUUGCAUUUAGUAUUCCCUUGAGCAUCUACUUGAAGUUGCUUGUAUACAGCUGGGUCUUGAAUUUAUCUUCUUAAGAUAUAACUGGUGAAAAUAUAUUUAAGUUGGGGAUAAUAUGAAUACAAACUUAUAUGUCCACUGAUUAAAGCUUUCUCCCCUGUAUGUGCUGUAUUUGGGUUGAAACCUAUAAGCCAUCGAGGAGCUUGCUCCUACUAUGUUUCAUACUUCUCUCAGAAAGGAAAUGAUUUUUGUUUUAUUUAGUUAAUGCAUACUUCAGUGGUGAUAGCUUAAAUAUGUGACACUGCUGUUAUGGUGUCCAAAUUUUCUGAAUGCUGUAUCGAAGCUUGCAAAUUUUAAAUUUGGAUGUUUCUAAAGUACAAUAGUUCCACAUUCAGCAAAACGUUUCUCAAGUGUUUAUUAUUAAGAAAACUUCUGAAUUUGCUGAGAUGUUGCAAACAAUGACCUUUGGGGUAUUUCAAUUCUAUUAAGGAUUGUGGCAUAUGUUGCCACCAUCAUGGUUAGGAAUUGCUUGAGCAAAUGUCUGUAUGGUGCUUUUGUCACCCUCUUUAGCAGGGUUGCAAUAUAAUAAUUCAAGUUAAUAAUUUGAUAAUGUCAGAUCAGCCACCCAUCCUUGCAGUCAAAAUCCUCUUUUUACCUCUUAUCUAUCUUUCUUUAAAUCCAUUUUCAGGUUUGCACAUACCAAUCCAUUGCAUUUAGAUAUAUUCCAGAGUGUAGCUCGAUUUGAGGCAGAAGUUAUUGCAAUGACAGCUGCUCUCCUUGGCAAUAAAGAAAAGGCUUCUGGAGGACAAGUGUGUGGAAACAUGACAUCAGGAGGAACUGAAAGUAUACUAUUAGCUGUGAAAUCAUCACGUGACUAUAUGAGAAAUAAGAGGGGGAUUACGAGGCCUGAAAUGUAUGGAAAGUUUUCCAACUUUAUACUUUCACUUUGUACUGUUCUCCAAAUUAGAUAAUUAUAACUCUCAAAUGCUUCUUUUCCCAAGUACAGGAUCAUACCUGUUUCUGCACAUUCAGCUUAUGACAAAGCUGCUCAGUAUUUUAAUAUCAAGCUGUGGCGUGUACCUGUUGAUAAAGAAUUUCGAGCUGAUGUCAAAGCAAUAAAGCAAUAUAUAAACAGAAACACCGUUUUGGUAUGGAUUUCUACAUCAUCCUUUGGAGCAAUACUUCAUUUCUUUUACAUUAUCUUUUCUAAGUAGUCGGUGAUUUCCUCUUAAUCCAAACUAGCUUUCUUGUUCCAAACUAUUUACUGAGAAGAAAAAAUAAAAUGAGAUAGCCUCUUGUAAGGUUAUAUUUCCAUGUUAAGGUUGCAAUUUACAGCAUGCUUUUUCUCAGCUAGUAGAGCUGACCUAAUUUCAUGAUACUACAGAUUGUUGGUUCUGCACCUGGAUUUCCUCAUGGAAUCAUCGACCCUAUUCAGGUGUGUGGUUGCCUUUAUAUUUUUUGCUAGUGAUGAUAACUAAGUUGAAAGUUUGGUAUGCACGUGUGUUCACACCUCUAUUUGAGGAAAUCUUCUCUUGUAGGAGCUUGGUGAGCUGGCUUUAAGUCAUGGAACGUGUCUCCAUGUUGACCUUUGUCUUGGUGGCUUUGUGUUACCUUUCGCUAAAAAACUGGGGUAUGUUUGACUUAGUUCGUUAUUAGCAGUUCAUCUCACAAUUAAUGGUUGGAGAAUGUUUUGCCAUGUCCUUGCAAUCACUCAUUUCACAACACCUCUUUUCUCUGUUUUUGAAAAUUGUUACUUGCACUCAUGUCUCAUGUUUUGUGGAUAUAUUUUCUGUCAUUUUUCCAAUUACUAAAUAGGGCAGAAUGUGUGACUUUUCAGGUACAUUCCUUAGACUUACUCUUGCAAGCUGUAGGAUUUUAUUCUGAAUUUGAAGCAUACAUUAAGUAGACAAUAUGAUUGGCUCGUAUAUAUCCCUCCUUCAAAUCCAUACUCAUUUGCAUGUGCACUUUAUGAUUUCUGAAUUAAACAAUACUGUGUGGAGGAGAAACUUUUAACAACGUUCUCUAGUUUGCCUGGCAUCCUCAUUUUCUGGCUCUGCUGCUUUGGCUAUUGUUGGAUUUCUUUUCCUUCUCAGGUAUCCGAUUCCACCAUUUGACUUUUCUGUCCAAGGGGUAACCUCAAUAUCAGUGGAUGUGCAUAAAUAUGGAUUGGCUCCAAAAGGAACAAGCGUAGUCCUGUACAGAAAUCGCGAAAUUAGAAAGGUAAUGUUGAAUAUCUGAUAUUUUUAGAUAAUUCUGUUGGACUAUGAUUACAGGUUGGCUUGGAGAAUUAUCCUCUCUUUUAUGAAAUUAGAAUCCUCAACCGUCUGUAUCAAUAAUCAUAUUAUUGUUUUCUUUCAGAAAAGAAAAGAUAAUCAUGCUAAUCAAGUGCUUGGUGCAGAUGAGAUCAUUUUAUAAUGAUUGAAUGAAGUUUUAUAGUGUGUUUCAAAGAGAAACUUUCUUAACGGAAUUGAUAUCAUCUUUAUGUAGAUAGGAAUAAUUUGCAACCUUUUCACAUUGCAUGUGUCUUCCAAUAUGAGUGUUCUUUCACAUUAUCACAUAUUUUUUUGGACUAGAGCACAAUUCUGUGGUUUUGCUCCCCAUAAAGUGAAAUUAUAUAGGGAAUUCUGGGAAGUAUUGCCAAGUUGAUCUUUCCAUAUCAACUUUUUGUAGAUAUUAAAACGCAGGGGAAAAAUAAGGUCUUGGAAAUAUUCUACACAUGCCUAGAAAGUAACGAUUAGUUUAGCGUUUGCAGACUGAUCAUAAGAUUCCAGCAUUUCUGUUGUCACACUGGUUAUUAUAUGUGGCCAUGCAUGCUAGUCGGCAUUGUGAAGAUGAUGUCAUGUAUAAUGUAUGUUGAUAAUCAUUUUAUUGUUUCUUUCCUUUCAUUCUUUCUGAUGCUUUUACUGUCUUGGCUUCUUGUUGGGAUGUGAAUUUUACUUUGGAUCCGGGUUCCUGGCUUCCCCAUUUUCCUACAGCAUCAAUUUGUUGCUGGUAAGUUACUCGACCCAAAUAGAAACACAUGCAAACACGCAUUCAAACACACGGAACCACAACUCAUUAUAAUAAUUGAAGUCAAAUCUUUAUUUAUUUAUUUUUUCUGCCUUAGUUAAUGCAUUUAUGGAAGCAACAAAUUAAAAGGCUGUAGCCUGGUGUCACAGAUCCCUACAUCCUUUCUCACCAUUUUUCCAAUUUUCAGAUAUUGCUUGACUGCUUGUGCGCGAUCAUCUUAUUAUAUUUAUCCACACGCAUCCUAGUUUAAAAAUUUUAUUUUUUCCAACAAGCAGCCAUGGUUUAAAAACUCAUGAUUUAAAAAUUCUAUGCUGUUUUGUUUGUGUCCUUGCGGCAGUUACUGAGUGGUCAGGUGGAUUAUAUGUGUCUCCAACCGUAGCUGGAAGUAGGCCUGGGGGUUUGAUUGCUGGGGCUUGGGCAGCACUGAUGUCUCUGGGGCAAGAAGGUGUGAAAAUGGAAUUAUCAGUCUGCAUUCCCGAUAUAUAUAUAUAAAUAAAAUAUUCUUUUAUGCUGAUAUAAUCUUUUGUUACAAACUACAGGAUACUUGGAAAACACCAAGGCUAUCAUGGAAGUGUCGGAGAGCAUACAGAAGGGGUUAGUGUUGUUUCCAAUGUUCUUGCCUCCCCUUUUUUGAAAUUUUGAACAACCCGUAAGUGCUACUGUAUGUGCAGAAUAAAGGAGAUUCCUGAGUUAUUCAUCAUUGGAAGACCAGACAUGACAAUUGUGGCAUUUGGAUCUGAUGUUGUCGAUAUAUUUGAAGUCAACGAUAUCAUGUCUUCCAAAGGCUGGCAUUUGAAUCCAUUGCAAAGACCCAACAGGUGAGAAUGACUCCGCAUCUAUCUCUUUCUUUCUUUUAUCAUUAUUUUAUCUUUUUCUAUCUUUACCCCUGGAAUGGUGGUCGCCUCAAAUUGCCUGUGAAAUCAUUAACACUGAUAUUAUUUAUUUUUGACCAUUCAAAUAAUCAUUUCUCAAUUUAAAUUGAUAUUGUUUAUAUGAAUUACUUUUGAUUUUACUUGCAUUUUACAAACAUCUAGCCUUGAUCUAUUUUGGAGGCUGACAUUAUUUACUUUUUUUCAAUUGUGCUUAAAUCAGCAUUCACAUCUGUGUUACCCUUCAACAUGUAGCUGUUGUUGACGUUUUCCUUAGAGAUUUAAGGGAAUCUGUUGAAACUGUAAGUUGUUCUUCAUCAAACAAAGCAGCAUUUUAUCUCUGCUAUUCGGUGGAGGGAAUAUUAUAUGUUGGUGCUGAUGCUUAAUCCAGUGCAAUGACCUAAUAUAUGUCAAUACUCAUUUCAUUUAUUCUUGUCAGGUAAAACAAAAUCCCGGUCCUGCAAAUGGUAGUCUAGCUCCCAUAUAUGGUGCUGCAGGGAGAAUGCCAGAUCGAGGCAUGGUUAAUGAAUUGUUGGUAAAUUACAUGGAUAGUACAUGCUAAUGGAAUCCUCUGCAACUUCUUAGUUUCAUUCUAUUGAUUCGAAUACUCCUGAUUUUUAUAAAAUAUUCUCUUUUGAGUUUGAAUUGCAAUGAACUACCAUUUGAUUAAUGUUCGUCAUUACUCGCACAAUAGCUCUGACUGCGAAUAUUUCGGUUCAGAAAGUGGGACAAUUUAUGCAUGUUCGCAUCAUUGUGAACCAUUGUCUUAUUGAAGCACAAAUAGUUAGUUGACUUUUGCUGCGUUGUGUUGCUACUAUUAUUUAAAAGUUAAAACCAUCGGCGGGUGGUAAAAAAUUAAUUAAAAAAAAAAAAUGGGUUGUAAAACUCGGCAAUCGGGAAACCAUGAAAAUCAUUUCUCUAGAAGAAAGGUGACUGAAUAUAUAUAUAUAUAUAUAUAUGUAUGUAUGGAGGAGGGUGAACGUCUAAUAGUUGUAUUUGUAAAGACAGUGCUUUGUAUACUCAUUUUAAACCGACUCAUUUGGUCCUCGCGUAACACGUCAGUUAGUCAACAGUUAGUUAGGGAUGGUAAUGGGCACCACCUGCAAUGAAUUUGUUAUUAUUAAAUCUACACCGUAUUAAAUUUAAAUUAUUAAACUCACUUGUAACUCAUUACAGGUUUUUUUUUUUUAAAAAAAAAAUCACUCACUGUGUCUUUUGACAACUACCAAACUCACAAUAGUAUCUGGCGGAUUUUUUGUGGGUUCUCACAUUUAAAAUCAUAAAUGGCAAUAUGUAAAUUAUAAUAAUAACUUCAAAUUGAACAUAAUAUACUCAAGUCUAAAUUUAAUCAAUAUAAAUCAAAAAUUAAAAUUUCAACAUUAAUUCCAUACAAAUUCUUAAAUUGAAGUAUAAAAUACACAAAUAAAAAAAAAUAAAUUACAAAUUAGUAUUUAAAAGUAACAAUUAUCAUUUCAUAUUAUCAUUUAACACAAGCUUCAAGAGAAGAUUUUCAUUUCAUUCACCACCAUUAACACCCAUCCAACACGAUUCUUACAAUAAUAAUUAAAAUUAAUAUUUUAUAAAGAAUAAUGCUCUUUGAAUACUAAUCCAAAGAACAAAAUUAUCAUAAUGAAAUAAUUCAUGCAUUAAGUUAAAGAAAAUUCAAUCCAAAUUAUAAUCGGUAUAUAAGUAUAUUUUUAGAUUUAAAUAUUUUUCAAUUAAAAUUAAAUUAAAAAAUAAUUAAAAAAAGCUUAGGGUUGUACAUUCGCCAGAUAUUUGACUAAUACCAAACCCACUUGCAACCUAGUGGGGGUUUCAAUUUAUGAUACUAAACAUCCAAACUCACCUGCAACCUAGAAAAUUACCUUCAGCGGGUAGAUUUUGACAGGUGGAUUUGGGCAGGUUUGUGGGUUUGCAGAUACUAUUACCAUCCCUACUGUUAGUGUCUUUACUUUAUAUUGAUAUAUGCUUUUUUGUAGUUAUUUAGUAUAAUUUUUAUUUUUUAAAUCCAAAUUUAAUAAAUACGACAAAUAGAAAAUGAGGAAGAAAGAGGGAUUUCUUUUUUCUUUCUAAUUGUAAAAAGUAAAAGGCAGAAGAAGAUAAUUGUUAGCCUCAGAUGAGUGCACAAUUUCCACUUCUGUUAUUGAUAAAGCCACUUGUCUGAUCAUUCAUGAAGCUAAGAUAAUGAAAUAUUAGGCAGCUUGCAGGAACAUACAUUUUUUCUCUUAUUCUAGUCUUCUGAAUAUAUAUGAUGAGUUGCAACAAAAUAUAAUUAGAUAUCAAAAAUAUGUUCAGCAAGCAAGUAUAUGCCUUUAUUACAUACAUUUGUCUCACAAGGUACUUACUUAUUGGUUCCAUUCAAGCUUGUCAUAUAACUUAUGCACUCACUCAAAUAUUACUACCAAAUGCCAAUAAGCCAAUAACCACUCACAAGGAGUUGAUACAAACACAAUAAUGCUGCUUAUUUAUUUUAGAUGAUUAAGAAGAGAUUGUAGUUUGAUCUUGACUGCUGAUUCUGCCUCUUAGAGCUCCAACACCAGGUCUACAGUGUAAACAUAUAAAAUACAAUUGAAUUAUAAUUAGUCACACUGAAAAAUUAUAUAACUAUUAUAAACUAAGUAUCGCAGUAUGCAUAUGUUGAAAUUUGAAUCUAUAUUCACAUUCUUCCUCAUUGGGAAGAAGACUUGGUUUGUUGUUUUCAGAAAUGCAAUUUAAAAGCUCCACGUGAAUAACGCUGAAACUAUGGAUUAGUCAAACAGUGUAAACAUUGUCACGUAGCAGUGCCACUAACCAUAAUAUCAGCAACAUUGCCCAUUGUAUUAUUACUGAUUUUCCUUUGAAUAAGCGAGCAGCAGAGAACAAGAAAGCGAAACUGUAAAGUUAUCAAUCAUGGUGUACCGAAUGCAAGUGUAUGGUACUUACAGUCUGCGUCUGUUUUGAUCCAGAACUCUCGGUUUCCAUUGGAAUCGCUGCCGCUAAUCGUGAAUUGGGGUGGGUUUGAUUGGCUCUUGUAGCGUCUUAUUUUCUCUUUUGAAAGGUUUGUCUGUGGGUCCUCAUCUGCAGGAACCAAUAUCUGUCCUCCAUUGUCCUGGACUGCUUCAUGAUGGCUGCUGCUCUUCCUGUUCUCCCUUUUCAUGGGCUUUCCAUUCUUUUUUGUUGCUGCUGAGCUUUCAGGGUGAACUUUUCUGUGGAACAUGUGCAGGAUCUACACAUACCAUGGACCGUGGACAUUUACAGAAAUGAGGAAAUUCACAAAAAUGUCAGAAACAUAAUGUCAGAUUAAACCCGGAUGUUCCUGGAAACUAUAAUCCUUUUCGAGACGGGUACAUUAUUAGACGACAUAUGUGUGGGCGGGGCCAAAGAUUUACUUUUUCUUUUACUAAAUAUCAAUCAUAUACCAAUCACAGUUUAGAACCCGAGAGAAUUCUGGUCCAAAUUGAAAUAACUUAUCAGUCAUACAAUUUCACAGUAAUUUUGCAACAUACCUUGUGCAGUUUUGUUUCUGCUGAAGACGAAUCAACAGUCCCACCAGCAGUUGCAUUGGAGCUCCUGGAAGCAUGGAGCAUUUUCUUCUUCAGAAUCUUCUUCAUGAUAUGCAGACUAGAUUUAUCAGCUUCUUUGUCAAUUCGCUUCUCCUGAUCUCUCUCGCAUUUACUGCCAGGAUUCUCCUGAUCUGAUAGUUUUGUCCUCUGAAACAGCUCUCCAAGGGAGGUCCUGUGUUCCUUCUUUGCCACUGCUGUUGUCGUUUCAGACAACUCAAUUGCUGACCCAAAAAGAUAGCCCUGCAGUGGACACACUGUGAAGCCAUUUCCAUUUGUCUCAGGACCUUCAAUUGGCUUUCCACUGAGUGUAAUAGUGCUGCCAUGGCUGCUUCUCCCAUUGCUCACAUGACUGUUUCUUCCAGACGAGUCAUUGCAACCAUCUUCUUUAUUAGCUUCAGCCCCGAGAACCUUCUCCAACUCAUCAUUAAUGAGCUUAAGUUCAUUCUCCGUCACUUCAGUUUCCUGUUCAGUUAUAUUUUCAACUGAUAUGCCAAACGUUGGGGUUGAAGGAUUGAGGAUGUUGGUGUCCGAAUUACCAAGAGUACCAAUUGCAAGAAAGCCAUGAAAUAGCUCAGAUAUUGCAGAUGAUGAGUCUUCUUGAUCAUAGUCCAAUUCUGAAUCUUCUGCUCGAGCUGCUGCUUCUAGACCGGCAAAAGACUUUCGAAGGUAUUGAUCUUUCUGAGCUUGCUGCUGCUGCCUGAACGGUUUGUUACCAUAGGUUGGCUUUGGGUAGCAUUGCUGGUCAUCCAGUGAUGGCUGCCCUGUAAGACAGUUACAAGCAUUCCCUGGCAUAGAAUAUGUCAAGCAAACAUUAAAAAAGUUCAUUCAUGCAGAAACGAUAGUAAAUAUUAUAUUGUUUCUCCUAUGCUAGUUAAUUUGAAGUACAAACUCGUGUGAGCUUGUUAUGUCAUGCAACAGAAAGAGUAUGGUUUGAAAUAGAGGUCUUUUUCAAGUGACUCUAUUAUUAUGAAUGUAAUAAUAUAACACAUAUAAUGUGCUGAUUCUUAUCGUGAGCCAAACCCUCCAAAUCUCCAAUGAUAGGAAAGCUUUCACGCAAUAACAUGUUCGCUUCUUGUAGUAACUAACGUGUGUAUAUUGGAAAGCUUUCAUGCAUGCAAGAACACGUUUGCUUCUUGCGGGCGAUAACUAAUGGCAGAGCAAGACUUACCAAUUCCAAAGUCUUUGAGUGGUUCACUGCUAUUUUGCCGAAACUUACGGUGCAUCCAACCUAGUAACUGGAACAUAUAAAGAGAAGCAGGAAAAAAAAUGAACAAAUUAAAUAUAGCACUGAGGAAGAAAAAUUUCUCCAAAUCAAACGAAUAGCUAGCAAUUAUGGUCUGAUGGUCUUACCUUCAUACUUUCUUCUCUCUUCAGGAAAACUCAACUUUGAUCACUUAAUUGGUUGUGUUGAAAUGAUCAAUAAAUGCUAGACUGUUUAUUAGUUUGAUAUAAAACAGCUUUCCUUGAAGCCACCAAUCCACCAUGGUCUGAGAUAAUGCUGGGAAGAGAAAAACACGGAGAUAGCUACAAGAUUUUGGUUGGCAACCCAUUCAUUGUCAAGAUCAAAUCACGGGGCCAAUUUGAAAGUGGGUCCUCAAAUCCCUUGCUCGCCAGGAUGCUAGCUAAUUAAGCUAUAUCUAUAUGCAUAUAUUCUUCUAAAUACUCAUGUGCGUGGUUGGCAGUGGCACUGAGCUUAUGUACAUGUACGUGGGAGGUUUGUACAUUCAUCGAUCGGCAUAAUCAUAAUACGUAUGCGGAAAGGUAUACACGUCAUGAUUCCUUUAAUUGGGUGUGUGUACAACUGAUUUCUCGUUCUCUUAAAGUUAUUAAUUAUUUUAUCUUUUUAGAUUAUUUGGUUUCAUAAUUACAAUUAAACAAUCUUUUGACACACACACACACACACACACACACACACACACACACACACAUAUAUAUACACAUCAUAUUUAUCACAUGUCGAUCGAAUUAUAUAUCUCUAUAUCUUAGAUGCAGUAUUUAUAUUUAAGGACGUUCAAUAUUUGUCCUUUUAAUAAAAAAAUAUAUUUGCUUUAUUGCUGUGUAUGUCCAAAAGUGCAAGUUGAUAUGUAAUUAAGUGAAUGUACAUGCAAUUCCUACAUGCAGCUGAUCAUCAACUAAGUUCAUAUAACUAGGUAUUUGGCUGGAAGAUUUCACAUCGAAUAAUAAAAUAGUGUAGGAAAUAAAGAGAAUAAUUUAGCCGACGCUAAUAGAUUCAAAGAUAAUGUGACAAAGAAGAUCUCUUUCUAAUCAACUGGGGAAUUCAAAAAGUUGGAUCAUCCUGUGUGCUUUCUAGUUUUGUUGGUCCACUUCUACUUUGUGUAUUUUUCAAGUGAAUUCAUCGAAGAUCUUGUCUGAUGGACAACGUCAGAUUAAUUAAUGAUUAUUCCAUAUCUGAUCAUCUGAUAAAAAUAUCUUCUUAAUAUUCAGUGUAUUAUUAUGAUAGUUAAGCUCUGCUUUUUGUUGCUUCGGAAUACUAUUUGCUUGGAGCCAUGCACCUGCACCAUUUUGGAAUUUGGAAUACAGCGAGCUCUGAUGGGAUUUCUUGCAUGUUUAAUUCUAUAUUUUACAUGAUAGCUUUCCUGUUUACAUGUCUCUUUGUACCUCAUGGGCAAUAUGGCAUAUUGCUCUCAGAAAAUAUGAGCCGUAAUUUUCAUUUUUAUGGCCCCUCGUUUCAUGAUAGUUCAUUUCAAUAUGCAUAUGUACAGGUAUUGGACAGACGCACUUGAUGAUAUAUACAUAUAUACAUAGAUACAUACAUACAUAAAUAUAUAUAUAUAUAAAUGUUCCAGUCAGGAAUUUUAAAGUACGGAAAAGUGCGGGAAACCUUUAAAAUCGCAUGGUUUUAAAGGCUUAAAACUGUAACCCUUUAAAACCGUGUGGUUUUAAAAUAUAUAACUAAUCACACUAUUUAGCUAAACAAACUGAAUAUAUAUAUAUAUAUAUAUUCCAUGAUUUUAUUCUCAUUCAUGAAAUUAUUUCCCUAACAUAGAUGAUUAUAACUUGGUAACAUGAAAUAAACGCUACUAAAAUGGAAGAUAUCACCGAAAAAUAUACAAUAUGUGAUUAGAAAAAGAAAUAAUAUGAAAUUAAUUAAAAACUAGAAAUAGAGCAAAAAAAGCCCCGAUAUCUAUAAUAGACAAUGUUCUUAAAACAUGUUUGGCGCUCAAGGAUGUAUGGUGUCUGUCUCCUAGGAUACAGUGAGAAUAAAUAGAAAAAUUGCACCACUAAACUAUUUUCAGUGAAGUUCAAUUGUAUUUAUACUUUAUUACACUGAAUAAACAAAUUUCUAAACUCUAUUACUCCACUAUUCCAAAAUUUAAUUUUAGGUUACCGGUUAAAAAUAAAACAACAAACCAAAGCCAAUCUAAGUUGGAAUUGCAUUCUCAAGUAAGGGCAUGCAAAAGAAAGCAAUCGUGUUUACAUUCUUACCUAACAACAUUUGUAAAAUCAUAUAUAUCCAACUCAUGUCUUAGCUUAAUUCCUCUCCCAUGUUGACUAGUUAUUUUUCCUUUGAUUUUUGGAUCCAAUGGGGGUGUACCUUAAGCAUCAAUUUCUCAAUCACUCAAGUAUCAUUUUGAGUAUACAAGUAGAUUGUUUUGAAGUACUCGCACAAGAGAAUUCAAAUCAAUCAUGACCUUUCACUUACAUAAAGUCAGUCCCACUCAAAAUAGCAUUUACCGCUGUUUUCCAAAACUACUUUUAAAGUAAUGUUUGUAGGCUCCGAGAUAAUUGACACAGGAGUAUACUCUUCCUUCAUUAUUAGCCUGUCAUGUUCAUUUUUGCUAUCAUUUACAGAAGUAUGUUCUUUCUCAGUGUGAAGAGAGCUCACUGUGCUGAGUUAAAACAAGAAAGGAAGCCAGCAGUCAAAGAUUCUUCAGCAAUGCCACGUCAGUGCUGAGUCAGCUAAUUUUGUUAAAGAUUGUUGAAAGCUCACGUGUCUAUUAGUUAGUUGAUUAGCUUUUAGUUAGUGAUGCAAGAUUCUGAUUGGUUAGUUAGUGCAAUGCUUAUUUGAUCAAUUGUAGCUUGGAAAUAAAGAGUAUAUAAACAGAGUCUGUAACGAUUGCUUAAGAUGAUGAAAAAGAAAAUAUUCCAGAGAGUUCAUCUAUUUUCUCAGUAACUAAACAAGCAUUUAGCUUAAUUUGCUAUUAUUUUACAUGGUAUCAGAGCCACAAUAUGGCAAGCUCAAGCAAUCCAAACGGAAAUUCAAACACAAUCACUGCGAAUCAAUCAAUACAAACCACAUUCUCCUUCAUAUCCCCAAUCAAGUUAGAUCGAUCUAACUACAUGCUCUGGCGAAAUCAAGUUCUAGCUUCUAUAAGAGGAAACAGACUUGAAGGUUACAUUAAUGGAGAGAAGGUUGCUCCCAAUCAGUUUAUCGCAACUGGAGGAUAUGCUGGAGUAGCAGGUAGUUCUACUCAACAGAAUGAAAAUCCAGAAUAUACAGUCUGGAGAUCACAAGAUCAGACAUUAUUAAGCUGGCUGUUGAGCUCAGUCACUGAAGGUAUUCUCAGUCUUGUUCAUUCUUGCAAUACUUCAUAUGAUAUAUGGAAAACAUUGGAGAAAAAAUUUGGUGCAAAAUCUGAAGCAAGAGUACUUCAACUUAGGUAUGAAAUGAGUGUUUUAAGAAAAGAUUCACUGAAUAUAGAAGAUUAUUGUUUGAAGAUGAAACAAAUAGCAGAUAAACUAGCAUGUGCUGGUAAUCCAGUCUCGGAUAAAGAUUUGCUGCAACAAAUUCUAAAUGGUCUUGGACAAGGAUAUCUUGAUUUAGCUACAUUCAUAACAGCAAGUAAACUUGAUUAUGAUGAUGCAUAUGCACUACUACUUACUCAUGAAACAAGACUUGAACAGAGCAUGAAUGAAAAACAGAUGUUCAAUGCAAAUUUUGCCAAUUUUACUCCUAAUAACAGUGGAUAUGGUAUGAUGAAUGCCUUUUAUGCACAAGCAAGAGGCAAUGCUCGAAGAGGUGGAUAUAAUGGGGGUUUUCAGAGUGGAAAUCAAGGUGGAAGAAAUACUUUUCACACUGGAAGGGGAAUGUUUGUUAACUCUCAUCCAAGAGGUUUUCCCUCUGGAACUGGAAAUUUUGGUAACAGUCAUGGUAGAGGUCAGAUGAUUGGUAAUAAUAAACAGAUGCAAUUUAUGAGAGGUCAAUAUAAUGGUAACUCUGGUAUGCCAAAUUCUGAUGGGAAUGAUGAGCAAAGUGUUGUAUGCCAAAUCUGUUUUAAAUCUGGACAUACAGCAACAGAAUGUUGGCAUAGAUUUGAAGAGAAUUAUGUACCACAAUACAUGAAGAAAGGAAGAAAUCAGAGAUCAGUUUAUAUGGCAUAUCAUGAUGCACCAAUUGAAAGUUCAUGGUCAACUACUGGUUCAGGAAUGCCUCAAAUGCACAAUCCAUUAUUCACUCCAUACAUGUCUGAUUCAGUAAACUUGUCAGGAGCUGGAGCUGGAGCUGCCUAUGUUGCUAAUUUUGAAGGUCCAGCAGAUGAAGGAUGGUAUCUUGACAGUGGGGCUACACAUCAUCAACAUUGGAGAAAAAGUUUGGUGCAAAAUCUGAAGCAAGAGUACUUCAACUUAGGUAUGAAAUGAGUGUUUUAAGAAAAGAUUCACUGAAUAUAGAAGAUUAUUGUUUGAAGAUGAAACAAAUAGCAGAUAAACUAGCAUGUGCUGGUAAUCCAGUCUCGGAUAAAGAUUUGCUGCAACAAAUUCUAAAUGGUCUUGGACAAGGAUAUCUUGAUUUAGCUACAUUCAUAACAGCAAGUAAACUUGAUUAUGAUGAUGCAUAUGCACUACUACUUACUCAUGAAACAAGACUUGAACAGAGCAUGAAUGAAAAACAGAUGUUCAAUGCAAAUUUUGCCAAUUUUACUCCUAAUAACAGUGGAUAUGGUAUGAUGAAUGCCUUUUAUGCACAAGCAAGAGGCAAUGCUCGAAGAGGUGGAUAUAAUGGGGGUUUUCAGAGUGGAAAUCAAGGUGGAAGAAAUACUUUUCACACUGGAAGGGGAAUGUUUGUUAACUCUCAUCCAAGAGGUUUUCCCUCUGGAACUGGAAAUUUUGGUAACAGUCAUGGUAGAGGUCAGAUGAUUGGUAAUAAUAAACAGAUGCAAUUUAUGAGAGGUCAAUAUAAUGGUAACUCUGGUAUGCCAAAUUCUGAUGGGAAUGAUGAGCAAAGUGUUGUAUGCCAAAUCUGUUUUAAAUCUGGACAUACAGCAACAGAAUGUUGGCAUAGAUUUGAAGAGAAUUAUGUACCACAAUACAUGAAGAAAGGAAGAAAUCAGAGAUCAGUUUAUAUGGCAUAUCAUGAUGCACCAAUUGAAAGUUCAUGGUCAACUACUGGUUCAGGAAUGCCUCAAAUGCACAAUCCAUUAUUCACUCCAUACAUGUCUGAUUCAGUAAACUUGUCAGGAGCUGGAGCUGGAGCUGCCUAUGUUGCUAAUUUUGAAGGUCCAGCAGAUGAAGGAUGGUAUCUUGACAGUGGGGCUACACAUCAUCUGACAAACAACAUGGCAAAUAUGCAUGUCAGAGAUGAAUUCAAUGGUAAUGACAAGCUGAUUAUUGGCAAUGGUAAAGGUCUGUCAAUCACACACAUUGGUAGCACUACUUUUUCAGUUCAAGGUUCUAAGUCACAAGCUGCACGUAAAUGCAUUACACUUAAAGAUAUACUGCUAGUUCCUUCUAUCACAAAGAAUUUAAUAAGUGUUUCUAAACUUACGGCUGAUAAUAACCUAUCUAUUGAAUUCUUUGGAUCUAUGUGUUAUGUGAAGGAUUCACUGAAGGGGAAUGUUCUGCUACAUGGUAUUGCUGAGAAAGGUCUAUACAAAUUGCUGAUCAAAUCAUCUUCAAAAUCAUCACUACAACCUGUAUACACCUCUCUUCUUUCUCAAAGCUCAAUAAAUCAACCUUUGUCUAUGUUGUCUCUCUGUCAUUUCAGUUCUGCAACUGAUAAUGCUUGUUCUGCAAAUUGUUUUCAUUCAAAUAAAAACUCUUGUACUGAUUCAUCAUCAAAUAAAAUGUCUCUAUUUCACAGAAGAUUUGGUCACCCUAAUGCUCAAAGUUUCAUUCAUUUACUUAAACUUGUACAUCCGAACUUGUUAUCUGCAAAUAUGCUUAAUCAAGUAACAAAGCAUUUCUGUGAAGCAUGUCAGCUGGGCAAAUUUCAUAAACUUCAUUUUCCCAUAACUGAUAUUAAGUCUAAAUCAGCACUAGAACUAAUUCAUACUGAUCUAUGGGGCCCCUCACCAAUAUGUUCUAGAGAAGGUUAUAGAUAUUAUAUUAGUUUUGUAGAUGAUCACACUAGAUACACCUGGAUAUACCCUCUGAAAUUAAAAUCAGAAGCUCUAGAAGUGUUCAAAUUGUUUAAACUUCAAGUUGAAAAUCAGUUUCAAACCACCAUCAAAGCUCUACAUUCUGACUGGGGGGGGAGAGUAUAGACCAUUCACUACUUUUCUAAAUGAAUGUGGUAUUCUUUUCAGACACUCUUGUCCCUAUACACAUCAUCAAAAUGACCUUGUUGAAAGAAAACAUAGACAGAUUGUAGAAUUAGGCUUGACACUUCUAGCACAAGCUAAACUUCCAUUCCAGUUUUGGUGGGAUGCUUUUCAUACCUCAGUUUAUCAUAUUAACAGACUUCCUACCUCUGCCCUUAAGAUGUCUAUUCCAUAUGAAAAAUUAUACAGACAUAAAGCUGAUUACAACAUGCUGAAAUGCUUUGGAUGUGCUUGUUAUCCAUACUUGAGAGAUUACAAUAAGCAUAAAUUUGAUUAUCAUACAACCAAGUGCAUUUUUCUUGGUUACAGUCCUUUCCAUAAAGGUUUCAAGUGUUUUCAUCCCUCUGGUCGUGUGUAUAUAGCUAGACAUGUCAAUUUUGAUGAAACUUCAUAUCCAUUCUUUUCAGAUCCUGAUUUUUAUUCUUUGAAUAAAUCUCAGUCCAACUCUUAUGAUUCCAUUACACCUAUACAAGUAUUUCAAUUGUCUACCUUACCUAUCAUAUCAGAUUUUUUGAAUAACAGCAAUGAGUCCCUGUCUCAAGCAUAUACCAGUGGUGAUAACUUUCCUUCAGUAGUAGAUUCAACACAAGUACAUGUCUCAGAUCAACAACUCUCAAACACAAACAAUGUCUCAGAUCAACAACCAAUUUUACCUGUACCUACAACAUUACCUUCACCAGAUGAAAUUCCACAAAAUCAACCUAUUCAAAACUCACCAUCUCUAAACCAACAUCCCAUGAUUACUAGAGGAAAGGCAAGUAUCUUUAAGCCAAAGCUAUAUACUGCAGUUUUGUUGCACAAAGAACCAGAAACUGUUCAGGAGGCUCUCAACAAUGAAAGAUGGUUUCAGGCAAUGAAAGCUGAAUAUAAUGCACUGAUAUCAAAUGGUACUUGGACAUUGGUACCAAGAACAGAGAAUCAUAAGCUUGUUGGCAACAAAUGAGUUUUCAGAAUAAAAACCAAUACUGAUGGAAGUGUUGAGAAAUAUAAGGCAAGAUUGGUUGCUAAAGGAUUUCAGCAGAUUGAGGGUGUUAAUUAUUUCGAGACCUUCAGUCCAGUGGUAAAAUCAGCAACAGUUAGAGUGAUCUUAAGUUUGGCAGUGAUGAACCAGUGGCAAAUACGACAAGUUGAUGUGAAUAAUGCAUUCUUAAAUGGAGAUCUAACUGAAGAAGUUUAUAUGAGACAGCCAGAAGGAUUUGUUGAUCAACAAAGACCAGAUUUUGUAUGUAAACUGCACAAAGCUCUCUAUGGCCUGAAACAGGCUCCUCGUGCUUGGUUUGACAAACUGAAAAGUAGUCUUAUACAAUGGGGAUUCAAGAAUUCUAAGUCUGACACAUCUCUAUUCUUGAGAAGAACCAAGAGCUCAAUCAUUAUAAUUCUGAUAUAUGUAGAUGAUAUAUUGAUUACAGGAUCAGAUUGUGUUGAGUUGGAAAAGUUUAUUAAGUUGUUCAGCUCUGCAUUUGCAUUAAAGGAUCUGGGGAAGCUAUCUUACUUUCUGGGUAUAGAAGUAUUAUAUGGUCAUGAUAGUAUAUACCUGUCACAGAAGAAGUAUAUCAGAGACUUGCUUGCAAAAGUUGACAUGCUGGAAUGCAAGGGAACAGACACACCAAUGAGUAGCAGUAAAGAUUACAGAUGCAGAAGAGUGUUGAGGGAGAAAUGGGCUAUUAUAUUGAAGACCCCACUCAUUACAGAAGCAUAGUUGGAGGACUGCAAUAUUUGGUUUUAACUAGACCUGAGAUAGCUUAUUCUGUUCACAAACUAAGUGAAGCAAGUAAGGAAUUGCAUCAAGAAGGCUAGAGGUGGCAUGUGUCUGUUAACACAAUUUUCAUCAGCUGAAUGGAAGAAUAAAAUCAAUUUGAAUUAAUAUAUUUUUCCUCUAAUUUCUACCUUAUUAUUAUUUUUUACUCUUUUUUUUUUUUUAAAAAAAUUUAAGGAGUUGUAAGCGUAGAUGUAAAUUCGGAAAGAGAACAAGCCGAAGUUACGGGCACCUUCCGUGUUGAAAAUCUGAAAGCACACAUAUUCAAAGAUCUUCAUAAGCAUGUGGAGAUUGUGAGCCAAACUUUUGCAACCGGCGAAGGGUCCAAUGACAGGGACGACAAGGAGAGAGACAGUAGCAGCGAUGAUGAACUGCAUGUUGAAGAUUGAACGUGAAAUUUUCAUAGGAAUAAUUGAGAAGAUGGAUAAGAUAAGAAGAUAUAAAUAACAUCAAUUAUUCAUUUUUUUUUUCAAAUGACAAAAUUACCAGGCGCUAUUUUUCAAAUUUGUACAUGUCUUCUUUAAUUUCUGCUGUACGGCCAAGGCGGAUGUACGGUACAGCAGGCUGUGAAGAGAGCUCACUGUGCUGAGUUAAAACAAGAAAGGAAGCCAGCAGUCAAAGAUUCUUCAGCAAUGCCACGUCAGUGCUGAGUCAGCUAAUUUUGUUAAAGAUUGUUGAAAGCUCACGUGUCUAUUAGUUAGUUGAUUAGCUUUUAGUUAGUGAUGCAAGAUUCUGAUUGGUUAGUUAGUGCAAUGCUUAUUUGAUCAAUUGUAGCUUGGAAAUAAAGAGUAUAUAAACAGAGUCUGUAACGAUUGCUUAAGAUGAUGAAAAAGAAAAUAUUCCAAAGAGUUCAUCUAUUUUCUCAGUAACCAAACAAGCAUUUAGCUUAAUUUGCUAUUAUUUUACACUCAGAAGAGCUCAUCUGGACCAGGGUGCUGUUGGCCUUGACAAACCUGGUGGGGUGGCUGCCCUACAGCUCACUUUUACAUUCUAAUGAAUAAGACUCAGCUGGAAAACUAGAAACGGGGUUCAUAGCUUAAAGACAAACAAGGUAAUGGAGCCAUUGUUGAAGAGAACAAGUAUCUUUCCAUACUAGUCGUCGCAACACGGGAGCCGUUAUCUGUAUUAUUGAAUGAUCUGUAAUAAUAAAGGAUUUAGUCACGAAGUGGUGCAAUACAACAAGAGUACCUAAGUUAUUUCUUCAUUAAGAAAGUUUAAAGUGGUAUGUAUUUCUUUAUUCAUUUUUCAUAUCAAGAAAUUUCUAAGUUAUUUUAGGAUUUAUUUACGAAUUGUUUGAUUGAUUACCCCCGUCGAUUAAAUUGUGAGAAGGACCAAAAAAUCUGAAUUAGGCGGUCUUGACCAUUACUCAUCACUGCUAGUACCACCAUCUACCCCAUAUUGAAAAAUUAUUCUCAGAUAUUGGUACGAGGAGGAAGAAUGAAAAUAAUUGAUCUUUCAACCACUUGCUUAUACUAUAACAAGAUAAAUCAAAAAGUUAAGUUAUCUUUUAAAAGCCUUGCAUAAUGUGCGUAUUUAUGCAUAGAGUGUCUAUUUGGUCCAGAAUCUUAAACUUUAAAAAAAAAAAAUUAAGGAAAACUGUUAUGAGAUAAGCUGUAAAAAUGUGGUGUAACAAUUUUUUUGAACUUUAAUAAUUUUGUUUGACGGUAUGGGCUGUAUUGGUCACGAACGAGAACAACCACGUUGUGCCAGCCGAGUGCCGACUAAUAAACCAGCAACGUGGUCUAGAAAUGAAAAAGCUCAAGGCAAAAUACAGACACGAACCAAACCGUAUGUUUGAAAAUUUUGAUCCUUAAAUAUAUUAUCAUAAUUGUAGGGCCAGGUGAACUUUCGAGGCAAAUCUCUUUUCGAUAACCAACACGAAACUAGAAUACGAACUUUUGGACAAGUUUGCUACCACAGAUCAUGAUGGGAACUCACACUCUGGGAGACAUAGUUUUAAAGGCAAAAUUCAUCCCAACACUCUCUAUCAUAAGUCAAUGUCGAUGAAAACUUGUUGUUGGCUUGUAGCCAUCGCAUAUCAGUGGCCUUCGGUACAAUAUUGAAAACUGAUGUAACUAUCGGUCUCCAUGUUUACAUGUAUAAACUUUAAUCAAAUUAAUUGUGGGUCCUAUCUUGACCCCUUUUGUUUAACUAAAAUAAAUUGAGGUCUUGUUUGGUACUGUAGUUAGACAGUUGUAGUGUAAAAAGUAUAACAAUAACUACUGUGUCUUGAAAACUAAGUUAAUUUUAUUAUACAUUUGUAUGAUGAAAAAUCUAUAACAUUUUUACUAUUUUUAUCAAACAUAUUAUUUAAAAAUUAUAUUUACAAUAAUAUAUCAAUAUUUAUUUUAUAGCUGGAAUUUUUUCUCUAAAAUCACUGCAGUGUUUGUUUUAAGUCAUAUCAUCUUAAUAUUAGACAAGAACUAAGAAUUAUUCUCGAGAGUCCCGAGUAAUAAUGGAGAACAUAAAAUAGGGCAAACAGAAAGAGACAAGUGCGUGCAUGUAGUGACCUAUUGUUCGGAUUGAUUAACAAUAUCUAAGUGAAUGAUCGAUGCUGAUUCUACAAACGUAAGCGAAUGUUUCUCCACUAAUCAAUUAAACUUCGUUGAUUGUAGGACGCACAAGUAUAUCAUCUCCAAGAUGCAUUUGCUUUGUGGAUAAGAGGUGAUGGCAAUUUGAUGCCUUACGCUUGUAAGGUCACGAAUAGGCCUGCAAAUGCGAGACUGAACAUGAGUUUGGUGCUUGCUGCGUAUCAAAACCUCAUACAGGAACCCGCGCUAGACAUGUAAAGUGUGCAAUAUCUAAUUGAAUGAUCGAUUUGCUAGUUUUUCGAGUUUCUAACCUUGUUGCUAGUAAUAACCUGCCUUAAUUUCUUGUACACGGAUUCUUUUAUAUAAUCUUCACUUGUAUCCGCAAAAUCUCCGUUAACUUGCCAUAUUUCUCUGCCAAUAUCCGAUAAAAAUGUAAAAGCAUUUGAGUCUUAACUGUACACAUGCACGUGUGACCCGAUAUUUUUAGAAAUUGAAUACUCUUUAGAUGCGUUUGGCAGCUUGUGUCAUAUUGUAUUGCAACGCAUUAAAACAAUAUUCUUAUACUAACCUAUAUAUGUUUUACUACAAUUUUCAUACCAAUCAGUUAAGUUGCCAAAUGUAGUAAAAUAGAUGAUGAGCGGUUUCUCACCAUGACGUUUGACGAAUUUGAAGUUAACCUACAUAUCAUUCAAAUCCAUCCAAAAUUCACCCUGUUAUAAAAAAAUAUUACAAAAAUUUGAAUUUGUUUAAUUUUCCACCCAUUGUUUACAAUUUAUAUUAAUUAUUCAUCAAAAGAACGAAAUUACGCUUAUAAAAUAAUUACCAUUAUAACUUGCGUUUACUUUUGUUUUGUCAUUUUAAAUGUAAUCAUGUGUUUUGAGUGUAUGGUUAAUACAAAUUGCAUACAUUGGGUGCAAAACUGAACAAAUUAAAAAUUUUGUAGUUUGUUUCUUACAAUGGGGUAAACUUAGGAUGGAUGACUAAUAGUUUUCCUUCAAAGUAAUUAAGCCUUUGUAAUUUCCCACUUACCAUGGUGGAAAUUGCAAAAGGGUACUUAUAGACAAUUAAAAAAAAAAAUCCUUAAUUGGAAUUGUAAUGAAUAAACAACGUAUCAAGAUCAACUUGACAAAAAACUGGAUAAAUAUUGUCAGGAGUGGACAGCAACUCGCCUAACCAAUAAAACUGACCUAACUCCCAUGAUUUUUUUAGGUUUGGGUUGUUAAAUUCUCAACUCGUGCUAUUAUUCAACUCAACCCAGCCUGCCAACCAAUAUAUAUAUCUGCUGUACCGUACAUCCGCCUUGGCCGUACAGCAGAAUGAACGAAUGGCCCCUCUNNNNNNNNNNNNNNNNNNNNNNNNNNNNNNNNNNNNNNNNNNNNNNNNNNNNNNNNNNNNNNNNUAUAUAUAUAUGUGUGUGUGUAUAAUUAUUAUGAUAUAAAUUUCAAUAUUUGAUAAAUCAAUAAUGGAAUGAUCUUCAUCAAACUCUUGCUACUACUAUUAUUUAGACUUUUGAUGUUUUGUAUUAAACAUAAUUUUAAAUUUUUGAACUCGUUUUUUUUCUUCAUUAAGCAUGAACUAACAAUUUGAUCGUUAGACUUAGCAAUGUUGGAUUUGUCCUAAUGAUGUUAAUGUUUGUGUUUUUGUAGUUUUUUUUUUCAAUUAAUUGAUUUAUUUUUUAAAAUUUUAUACAAUAGUAAAUUAGACUAUAAAACUCAGUCUUUUUCAAAAACCCAACACAGUCAACCCAACUUGUUCCAGACUACGACGGUUCUGUGAGUAGGGUUGAGUGGUAUACAAACCCAACACGAUCAGACCCGUGCCCGUUCCCACAUUUAGUCAAAAUUUUAUAACUCAAUUUUCGAUAAAUUUCAUUUUACCCCAAUUAGAAUAACAAUUAACAAACCUCUAUUUAUCUUUAUCUUUUGCCAAAAUAAUUUUUUUAUAAUAUUGAAUAUAGUUCAGAGAUUUUAGUCACGGGCUGCCUUUAUUAAAAAUAAAGAAAUAAAUAAAUAAAUCACGGACUGCUAGGUUCACUUUUUCUUUCCGUCAUUUUUAAGUGUAUAUAGCUCAUGGCUCAUCCUCCGAUGCAAUGCGUAAUUUUAUUACAUUUUCGGCCACUCAAUUUUGUAAGCCCAAUUUUGGGAACAAUGGACUACUGACAGUUUGAUACCCAUUUUUUGUAAUCCUUAGACCACCCUUUUGAAUUUUAUUUCUUGAAUAAAUAUUUUCUCUCCAAAAACAUGAAGUUCUUUUAAGUUUCUAUUUAUAAAAUACAUAUAAAUCUUAAAACAUUAAAUGAUUUUUUCUUAUUACAUAAUUUCUAUCUCCGUAACAGUAAAUUCUUGUAAUUUUUCUCAAAGAAAUAUUUUUAAAUUAAAAAUUAAAAUAUAAACACAAAUUAUGAGAUGGGAGUGUAAAAAAAGGGUUAAAAAAUCAUUUAUUUAAGUAUUUAAUUAAAUUCUGUUGAAAAUAAAAAUGAAUUAAUUUGUCUUUCAUUAUUUAAGUAAUUUUAAUUUAAAAUGAGUUUUGUGAGGAGUUUUAAGUGUUUCAAAAGGCUUACUCUUUUAUAAAUCUCUAUCCCUUUUUCCUUUAUUUAUCUCAUUCAUCUUUUCUUUUCUCCAAUUAAGAAUAAGUUUUAUUUUACUGAUUCGACUUCAAUACUUUUUCAAUUUUGUUGUAGUGAAUAACCUCGUUAUUAAAAUUUAAAAGAAAGUGGCAUGUCUUUGAAAACAUUUUGGUUAUUAAAUAGAUUGAAAACAUUUUGUUUGACCUUGAACUGAGCACCGAAUCAAUGGUCAAUAAUUUCUUAGAGCCCACAUAAGACAAUUAGUGAUCAUUGAUCAUGUGCUCAGCAUAAGCUCGGCUGAGCACCGGACUUGUUUCCCAAAAGCAAAGGGGAGGGAAAUUAAAUAGCCUCGGAAUCAACAAUAUUAAGUUUUUAUAACCUUAGCAUGGAUGCUUGUUCUAAUUAUAUCAUACUUAUCUUUACUUGGAAGUAGAAUUUAUUAUAUGCGUUCGCUAAAACUCACGCCAGGUAAUGAGAUUUUUUUUGGCUCGGAUUUCAAAUAAGAAGUAAAAGUAGAAACUACUCCUUUGCGAGAUGGGAAGGCAAAUCACUUCCCUUCUCACGCAUUUUCAUUUCAUCAAUUACUGAUUUUGGGUGCUUCUGCUCAGACUGUUGUGCCAAGUAUUUUGUCAGUCUCAAAGCAAACAAAAAGGAAGGAGACAAUCAAAGUGCCCAUGAAUUUAAUUGUUUGCGUUUGUUUACCAACUUUAGCCGAGGAUCGAUCCAAAAACACCCUAUCACAUGCAAUGGGGAUAAGGCAGGCACCAGAAGCUACUCACUUCUCAGUUCCCGGCAACUGUCUGUACUGUGACUUUUGCCAAUGGCCUAGCUUCAUUUGUCAUUUGCUUGUUUGCUAGCCACCAUCCAAUCCAUGCAUAAAGCACAAACGAUAAGAUAUCAUUACGUGUCCUUCACCUAUGAAACCAGUGGCGGACCCAAAAAUUAAAAUGAGGGAGGACUUAGUUCAAAAAUUUUUAUUUAACUUAAAUUUUUUUAAUAUUUACUUGAAUAUAUUUUAAGUCUUAUAAACUUAAAUUUUAUUAUUAUUUUUAAUUCUAAAUAAUAAUAGUAAUAAAUUAUUAUUUUUAAAUGUGUGAAAAUAUCAUUUUUUGAAGUAAUAUUUUAAAUGUAUUUUAAAAAAUAAAAUAAUGUGGCUAAUGAAAUUUGAGCCAAGAUUUUGAAACCAUUAAAUAACACUCUUACCAUUGAACUACAAGUCUUUUAAUAUUUAAAAAAUGUGUCUAAACAAAAUAUUUAAAAAAAUAAAAUAAUGUGGCUAAUGGAAUUUGAACUAAGGUUUUAAAAUUAUUAAAUAACACUCUUACCAUUGAACUAUAAGUCUUUUAAUAUAUAAAAAAAUGUGUCCAAAUUCUUUUAUUUAACUUUUUCAGAAGGGCCUUGGGGUACAUUUAAAAGAAAACUUAAUGGUCUCGGGGGGGGGGGUUGAAGCCCCUCCUGGGCCUUAAUUGGGUCCGCCCAUGUAUGUAACCCAAACUACCAUGGUGAAACUGUUUGCUUGUGGUUCUAUUUGAGAUUAAGAUACUGUAACUUUUAAAUUAUAAUUGUUGUAGAAAAAAAUUAUAAUUAUAAAAUAAAUAUUAAUAAUAUAUAGUAAAUAUAAAUUUUAAAUAAUAUUUUUGACAAUAUUACUAAAAAUAUAAUAUAUUUUUCAUUAUACAAGUGAAAAAUCAUAUCAACAUAUCUUUCAAACUACAAAAGUUACCGUUUAUCAAAUACUUUAAUAUUGUAACUUUUAAGGUACAGCUGAGUAACCUAUUUGCGUUUAUCAUGAGUUUACGAGUAUUACAAGCAAAUUAUUGUUCCAAACUAACUGCAUGCUUAUAAUAUUACAAUGCACAACGUCUCACCUCAUCUCUUGAUAGAAUUUUUUUUUUUAAAAUUACAUUAUAGUAUACUUAUAUUUAUGAUAAAUAAAAAAAAUUCAAUAGGGCUUUGUCUAAAUAGCAACACUAUUAUGGCCAAGUUGGAGUGGCUGGACCUAUGAAAUAGGAGAAUCCGCCCCCAAGUAGUUAGUAGAAAAUAAACUCACGUAUGAGGAGAGAGAUGUGACUUGUGCUCUUAUAGACGUAUACUAAUUAAUGGGUGGUUCCCAGUUUCUUAUGAGGUUAACCAAUCAUCUUCGGUUGGUAUUUCUUUGAUUCAAGGGGAUCGGUCGCCAUUAAUUCUGGGGGUCACAUUCGCGUGUAAGUUAAGAACAAAUGGGAAUAUAUAUGGUCAAGCCACAAAAGCAGUUACACUAUUAUAUUAUCUUCAUCGAAGGAUACUCGAUGCAAAACUACCAAAAUAAUAAAAAAAAAAAAAAUCCGAUAUGCUUUGGGUCCCCAAUCGGGUACGCUGUCAUGAUAACACAAAAAAGAUAUGAAUGCGAACUUUAAUAAUUGCUUUUAGAAUUUGACUCCCAUGCGACAUGUUUACUGAUUACAAGUUAUACGUGACAUUUUAGAUUAUAUAUGAUUCUGAUUUAUUAGAUUCUAAGUUUAGCACAUCAACCAUAAAAAUUGAUAAAUAUUUGUUAGUACUUAUAUUUUAAAUUAUUUAUUUAUUUUUUAUAUUUUUAAAAAAUACCCCUAUUAUUAAACAUAUUACACUCUCAUCCUUGUUUUAUUUGCCAUAAUUUAGCAGAAGAAAAAUAAUAAGAAAAUAAUAAUUUUUAAAAAAAAAUAAUUAUUAAUAAAAUUAUUGUACGGAUAUUAAAUAUUACUUUAAGUUGAUUAAUAUUAAUUUAGUUAUAUGUAAAUAUUAGUAAGAUAGUUGUACAUGCAAAAAAAAAAGAAAAAUUUCUACACUGAUAUUUAUUGUUAAUUUAUAAAUUAAAAAUAUUGUUAAAAAGUAUAAUUACAAUAAAAAAUAUAAAAAUUAAAUAAAUAUUAUAAGGCGAAACGAACGUUGACUCAAACAAGGCACAAGGAGAAAAAGGGUAUUUAAGGGAAUUCAAGCUUGCUAUUCCUGUCGGCUAAUAAUCAUAGGCGCCCUCGAUGCCAUCCACAUAGACAUAGGGCACCUAACCCCAAAUUAGAGGUCUUAAAGAAAGCAUAAAAUAAAUUUGAACACAAAAUAUUUAUCACUUGAAAGAGGGUUCCAGAUCCUCCACCCAAAACAUAGAGAAUCGCAUCCAUUGACAAUUUUUUUUUUUUUCAAAAGGAGAAUCGAAUAAAAUAAAGUAAAUAUUUUGCACCGAAUAAUAAUAAAUUCCCAGGUUAGUAAAUAAUAUCGAACACCUUGUCCAUAAAAAAUAAUCUUUCCACUAACAAGCAAAACUCACGUUUCAAUUUGCCCCCACCCCACCCCAGAUACUAUCUCCACCUAAUCACGAUACUUUAUAGCUAAGCUAGUAUUAAAUCAUCCCCAAAGUAUUUGUUUUAAUUUUAUAUACAUUUUUCUAAAGCGACCUCCUGCCGGCAAAGCACAUAUUAUCCAGCCAAUAAAUUAAAAUGAUAAAAAAAAAAAAAGGAAAAAAGAGGGAAAUAAAAUUUAAAAAAGAAAAGAGUAAAAUACUUGCUAUAUUCGGGCACGGAAUUUGAUUAACCAAGGAUUAAAAUUAGAAUUUCUUCAUUUUUCUUUUUUCAAAUAAGCUGGGAAAAUUACAUGAGAGGGAACCAAAAAAUAAAAAAGAAAAAGAAAUUUUUUUUGGUAAUUUCCCUUCGCCCUAAGCGUUUGGACUCCAAAGAGACCACAAACGAGAAUUGAAUAAACCUAACACGUCCGGCAGCACCUUCCUAGCCAAACCCUUGUGCGGAGAGCUGGUCGCCGGCGGCGAAGACGCUGUCUGCCCCUCCUCCACCACCGCAGAGGACUCAGCGGAGACCUCCACCACCACCUCAUUCUCCUCAAGCCGUUGAGCCUCGUUCUCAGGAGAAGUCAGCGGUGCAGGAGGCACGACAUUUUCAGGCGAAGACUCAACAGGAGAGGGAGCAGCAGGGCCCGAUGACCAUUCAUUGGUUUCUUCAACCAGAAGUUGUUUGUUGUUGUCUGAAGAACGACGUGCCGUUUUGUCUCUCCUCUUGGCUUUGCCAUUCUUCUUAUUGGACAGCUUGUCAGAAGCCUCGCCGUUGGCCAAAUGGUCCUCAAAGGCUUCAAUGGCUUGGUGAACGAGCUCGCGGUUGGGAGAGGAGUCCCAUCUGAACCAGUAACUCGUGUAACAGUCGAAGCAAUCGCAGUCAAACACCGGGGGCCUAUGAUUGUUGUUACUAUUACUAUUACUGCCUCCGGUCGCUGCUUUCUUGGACGCCUUUCUCUGGAUGUUGGAAGACGACGAGGCUGUGGCAGUCGUCGUUUUGAUGGACCUGGUGAUGAGGUAAGCAAGCACUUCACGGUCCUCCAGAGAGAGGACUGAGGCGAGAGCGAGAAUCCCAGCUGGCAAAAGCUUCAACACAGAGAGAUAGUCUCCGUUUGAAGAAGAAGAAGAAGAAGAAGGAGAAGGAUAGACUUUACCUUUGUUCUUAAUCUUCAUAUUUGAUGAAGAUGAAAAUGAAAAUGAAAAUGACAAUCAAUGGACUUGGAGUUCUUUAAUUUCUUUUCUUUGUACUUCUUUCUGCUUUUGCUUUAUCUUUAGGUUUUGUAUUUGUGCGGUGCUUUUCUUAUUAUUAUUAUUAUUUUUUUUUAUAUAUAUUGGAAUUUCCAAAAUUAAUUAAUUUAAUAAAAAAAAAAGAAAAAAUUGGCGAGGGUUGGAUUUUGAGAGAGUGGCGGAACAGUUGGUAGGGUUUGGUUGUGAUGUUUUGGGGAGAGUAAAUAUUUUUUACUUGAAAAACAAGGAAAUAAUGGUGUACGACUGGCAGAGAGGUGAGGUCAGGUCUGGUCACCGUUCCUUGUUUCGCAGUUUAUGUCGCUUCACUUUCUUUUCCGGGCGCGUGUGCACGACUAUCCGUCGUGUAUUUUUUAAUUUAAAAACACUUUUCGACCAAAUUUUCUAAUAUUUUAAGAUUGUUCAUUUUUUGAAGUCUAGGUCCGGUCAAUUUAAAUAUUUUCACUCGCACAACUAGUUUUACUUUUGAAUUUAUCUCAUUUAUUACACUAUAAAUGUUAAAAAACGCCACAGUCUGGAUACCAUCAAAUAGUUAAAUUUUAUUAAUUUUUUAUACCAUCUAAUAGUGUUAAGAUAUAAGACACAAUAUUUUUAGAAUACCAUAAUUCAAUCACAAGUUAAAUGGUAUAUAUUUAUUUAGUUGCGUCUUAUAUUAUAAAAUUAAUGUGUGGGCUUUUGUUGACUAAAAGGAAUAUUACGAGUAUUAUUUAUCAAUUUAUUAUCUCUAGAACCAAGCAUUUAAAUACUUAUGCUUUCAUAAAUUUAUGAGUAUUAUUAUCCUAUCUAGUAAAUUUAUUAGUCAUUGUUUUUUUUUUUGGUGAUGUUUUUUAAGUCAAGAACAAAAUAUAAUUUUUGAAGAUUUAAACCAAGGUCUCAUUGACUCUAAAAAUGGAAUCUUCUCAAUAUCAAACUUUCUUUGUAAAAUUCGGUCAAUCAAAACUCGUUAAAUACUUUAUUCACGGUAACUAUUUUCGAAUUCAUUUCCUGAAACUAGAACGUUUGACAAAUAUUAUACUUCAAAAUCUGUGCAAAAACAAUAGGUUUAAUCAGUUAUGCACCGGCCAACAAUGCACUUUUGAAUUACCAUGAGGCGCACGUAAUUAUUCGCGCGUGGGCAGAGAACUGUUCAGGCGAUGAGGAACCCACGACCGUUGCAACUAGCCUGCGACUCUACGGCCUACGCCAAGUAGUGGUCCUGAGAGACACGAACAGGUGUUAUCAAACAACACCACCCUCUCUGGGCGAUUGGAUUACACCUGUAGACAACAAAGAUGAAGGAUGUCAAGACAGCUCAGAAAAAGAAAAAAAAAAAAAAAAAAAGACAAGACAGGUCAGUACUGUCACAUCAUUAGAGUUCGUUAAGCAACUUGAUAGCUCGGAAUUAGUCACAAUCUGUUUUACAUGUUUUGUGCAUUGAUCUAAAGUUUAACCAACUUAAAUUUAGUUUUUAACUUAAUAGUGAAUUAGUUAUAGAUUAAUCAAGCUCAAGAAUUGUCUAUAAAUAAGGAUGUAUGUGCACAUUUUUAUUUUUGAACAAUAAAAAAAUUCCAGAUCCACAAUAUUUUCUCUGAGAUUUUCUCAGUAUCCAAACAGCUGAGCUUUUGUUUUCUUUCAAAAGGUUUAACACUAAAGAAGAGAUAAUGGAGAGCAAAAAACCAACUCUCACAGCCACGGCAACAGAGCGAAGGCAGCACAACCUUCCUCAGAACAUGCUUCAAUGGACUCAAUGUCGUUUCAGGCCUUUAUCUCACGGUCGCUCUCAAGUAACAAUUAAUUAAACAAACUUCAUGUCUAAGCUUUUUAGAAGAAUCUUAUUGAAAGCAAUCUAUCAGUAUCCUCUCUUACAAGCAUUUGAGUUGAACUUUCUGUUGUUGCAGUAUCUUGUCAUUCAUAAAUCAACUCGCCGUUCAGGUUUUUAAGAAAGUAGUGAUGCCUCUAUUUUUUUUUUUUUUUUCCAUGAUCACGACGAUUCCAUUACUGGAUUAGCGAUCGAGUAUCUUCUUCCAGUCGCGUAAGUCAUAAACUUCUGCUUCAAGCGAAGCCGUUUUUGAUCCAUCAACUUCAUUUUUGGACUCAUAUUUGUCUUCGUAAAAGUAAUCUGCUUUUGCUAACAUGUACGUAGGACAUCGAUCUUAUGCUUUUCCUUCUAUGUUGUAGAAUCUGAAACAACUGAAAAUUAUACUUGGUUGCUUACUUUUUUAAGUCCAACACCAAGUUGAUCAAAGAUUAUCUGACUUUCUAAUUAAGGAAUUGCACGAAAUUCAUAUUUUUUCGUGUUAAAGAUUCACAAGAUUGGCACGGUGAAAAUAAUGAAGGACAAAUAAAUUGGUUUCCAUAUUUGCCAGGUGUUGGGGAUACUAUCAAUUCCCUGUGCAUUUUUUUUUUUUUUUUUUUUUUGGGUUUUUUUUUUUUUUUUUUUUUUUUUGGGGCAAGAAAGACGAGCCUAGCACAAGCUAAGGGUUAACAAUAAGGGGGAAAGCAGUCCCUAAAACAGUCCAUAUCCGUAAUGAUGUACCAAACCUUUUCCAAAAAUUCAAACCAUAUAGUUAAAGAAGAAAUCACACAUGGCACUGAUACUACAUAUUACACACACACAGAUAUAUAUAUAUAUAUAUAAAGAUAAUUAACAAACAAACAAACAUCAAUACGUACCUACACAGAUAUUUCAGGUAUCAAAUAAUAAGCUUUAUUUAAUUGAUAACAUACAAAUUUAUGAUUUUAAUACAUUGGAAACUAUUUUUUAGUUAAUUGUAGCAUUCUCACUUUAUUAAAAUGAGUAUAUCGUCAUACUCUCUCUCUCUAUAUAUAUAGUCGAAUAUCUAGUGAAAGUAUCAUCACUUUGUUAAAAUGAGUUGUGUUUUAACUGACCUAAAUUUGACACAACAAAAACACAACCCAUGACCGAUUUUACCAGAUCUAAUUAUGAGAAAUUUUAUUUUUAUUUUUAUUGGACUUUAGUUCAUACUUUAAAUUUUGGCAUGUUGGAUUAUAUUGAAUUUUAAUUGUAGAUUGAUAAUUUAGCUGUGGUUGCUAUUAGAUAUAAUAUUAAAAAAAAAAACUGACAUUAUAUUUAUUUGUCUUCGGUCUGAUUCAUUUACUGCCCUAUGUAACACGCUUUUGCAUAUCGCAUGUAUAACUUGUGAAUAUAUUUAGAUUUAUAAUAGAUUCAAAUAUCAGAAUACACCUAGUUCGCUCGGUGUUUCAAUAAUUCAUUUUGUAAUCAUACAUCAUAGAAUCUUUGACCCAUUUGCAACUUUAAAUUUUGUGACAUUAACAUUAUAGCAAACGGCCGGCGGUUCUUCUUCCUGGCAAAUUGCAGUAAUAAAUGUCAUUUUCCUAAAAUCAUAGAAGUAGGCUACAGCAAGUUUGGCCAUUUAUUGUGUUCAAACUAAUCGAAAGAUCCCCAGAAAACUUCUUAUGUUCAAACACUUUGUUCAAAUUUUGGUCCAAUUACGUCAAAACUGCUCACUGUCAAUGAGGAAGACUAGUAACCUGAGAGGUUAUUAUUGGAUAGAAUUCAUUUAACAGCCAAAUCUACGCCUACCUCUUGGGUUAGGUAUUCUGAAAUUUGUUUUGUAGUGAAAUUGCUGUUAGAUUUUAGCCAACGAAAAGAAAAAAACUAUUCGUUAUGCCAAAUUUAAACAUUUUGUAUUCUAUUCAACAACUCCUUGAUUGGUUAGAUAGGUAUUUUUUUCUCCUUAACUAUUAAGGUAAAAUGUUUUGAGUCUCCCUGCUACUAACUGUAAGAGUGUUUUCUUUGAAUUUGAUAUGCUGGCUUUUGAUUGAACAUGUAUACUAUGUUGGGAUUUGAUUUUAUUAUAUGUAAUAUUAAAAAUAUUUUGUAUCCUGCUAUUAGAUAAGAGUGUUUUGUUACAAUAGAUCCUCGUAAAUAGAAAAUGAGGAUGAUUUAGUUUAUUUUUUUAAAAUUUAUUAUAAAGAUCUGAUCAUAUUUCUAUGUUGUAAUAUAUCUUCGCAAACAUAGAAAUGAGAUACUUAUUUUUCUUUUUUAAAUUUAGUAUAAUGAUACGAUGAGACUGUCGUGUCAUGGUGGAUCUACAUGAAUACAAAAUAAUGGUAUUUUAUUAUUAUUUUUAAUUAAUUAUAGUGAUUUGACAAGACUGUCUUGUCAAAUCACAGUAGAUCAUAAAAAAUAAAAGUGUGUGAUUGAUUUUUUUCAACGACUAUCAUGACUCAAAUAAUAAACUGCAACACUAAAGUCAAAAGUAGAUCAUCAUAAACAAAGAAAUUAUUAAAGUUAUCCAUAAUAUUAGGGAAUGGACAUGUUAUUGGAAAGUGAGUGCCAACUGGUUAAGUUGGUAGAAUCUGGCAUGUUAAAAACACAAGGACUGAAAUUUGAAUAAGUCUCCAAGUCUCCAUGUGGUUCAUUAAACAACAGUCGUAGAAUAUAUAUCCUGGAGUUCUGCUGAUGUACUUAAUUGUUUCCAUUUUUCCUAGCAAUUUGUAUCUUGAAUAACAAAGAUAAAAAAACUUAAAGAAAGAAAAGUGGUCAAAAAUUAUCAUAUAGUAUUAUUAAAUUUGUUUGCACAGGAUAGGCGGCAUGAGAUUCAAGUGUGGAAAAACUGCAAAAAGCGGUGACAAGAGGACUAAAUACUCGGUGAUUAAAACUAUAGGGGGCUCGGUUAAUUACUCAGUUCCUUAAGUUUUGUUGGAAUAAAAAUGUUUUUAUGUGGCUGGUAGAUUGAGAUGCUGAUAAAAAUCCUAAAUAGUGCAAAAGGGUUGGUCGUUUUCCGGCGUAAAGACCUUGGUAUGUUGAAACUUUACAGACGCGCCAGGCCAGAUCCUUAACAAACACUUUCUUAGCAUUCUAAGUUAUAUACAAAUGUCAAUUUCAUUUAGGGUCAGUUUUAUUGUAACUUUAAAAAUAAUUGUUGUUGUUACCUGUGUUUUUUUUUUAAAUAAUUAAUUGUGAAGAGAAUCAAUUAAACGUUGGAUAUAAUUUAUUUUUAAAAGUGUCAUGAGUUUUAAAAGCAGUUGUAUUUGUUUGAUAAAUGUUGUUGUUAAAAUAUCAAAAAAAAUAUAAAUAAUUGAUUGGACAUAAUAUUGAAUAAAAUUUAUUUAUCAAUUUAUAAAUAUGUAUAUAAAAUAUUUUUAAUUGUGUAUAUAUAAAAAUUAAUAAUUAAAAUAAAUAUUUUAUAUCAUUAAUUUUAUUUUUUAUCUCGAUAUAAUUAGUAAUAAUAAUAAUCUCUUUAAUGUUAAUGAUUUUAUUUAUAAAUUAGUAAAGAUAAUUUUCAAUUCCUAUAAUAUAUUUGAUGAUAUAUAUGAAAUUAUAUUAAGUAUAAAAGUUAUUCUCAAAAUUAGAUUUUGAAAAGGUAUUCUUUCUCAACUUUUUCAAAAUCACUUUUUCAAAAUCUAGUGCUGAAUAUAGUGACUUUGUCAAAAGAGAUUUUUCAAAAAAUUUAUUAAAUAUUGAAAUUAGCUUUUAACUUUUUAAAAUCACUUUUAAGUCUCUCAAAAGAAAUUCCAAACAGACCCUUAGUAUUUCAACAAAUUAAGCAAAGCAUCAAUCAUCACAAAAUACCCCAACUAUUUUUAUAUAAACUUGGCAUAAAUAAUUGUAAUUAACGUGCGUUAAAUCCGUUUCUAAUUAAUUAGAUAAAUAAAUAAAUUGAUUAAACUUCUGUACAUAUAACGCAUGCACGUGGACCACAUACUUCAUGCUUUGGAGCAAGCAACGCCGCAUCCAUUUCUUACGUUGGCCUUUUUGUUUGUGGAUAUAUAUAUUUUCAAAAAUUAUUAUUAUUAUUAUUUAAUUUCUCACUCUUACUUUUUAUCUCAAAAAAUAUGUACAGGCGUGUAACUUCGAUUUCCACAGUCAACCAAAUUAAUUAUUCAAAUAAGUAUAAUAUAUGUAUAGUCUAUAAUCGGGUUCAGACAUCUAUAUGUUCUAAAAUAUAAGUUUAAAAUUAAGUAAUAAUAUCUUUGAAUUAUAAUACAAUCUAAUGUUAAAAUAUAAAAAAGGUCAGUAAUUAAUUUUAGGUUUAUAUUUUAAAAUAUGAAAGAAUCCGCACCCAAUAAUCAAGAGGUUUGGACAUAUAUUUGUAUAUACUGCACAUUAGACCUUCCACAAAAUGUAAGCAUAAAUGAGCCAUAAAUUGUUGUAUAAACUGUUGUAUAUAAAGUUUAUAUAAAUAUAAAUAUAUUGGCUUUAUAAAAGUAUUAAAAAACAUUUAAUGAAAGUACGGAUCGUUUAUUUAUACUUUUAUUCAAUCAUACCUUAACGUCGCAUUAGUUUGUGUAAACAGUCUAUGGUUUUAUCUUUUCAAUAUUGACAUAUAUAUGACGUCAUUUAUACACCCGAAAUAUUCCAGGAUAUUUUUGUUACAACAAUAAAUUUCAUUAAUGUGCAUAUAUCACCUUGUUUACUAUCCACAUAUUUUUCAAUUAAAGCCUCUGUUAUACUCCAAUUAUUAUAUCAAAGUUCUAGCAGACUGCAGAUCUUUCACGAUCCUUCUGUAUUUUAACAAUUUUCUAAUUAUUUUUCUUACAAUUUUCUCCCAUCUUUUUCAAAUUAUCAAAGACUAGUAAGUUUUAUUUAUUUUUAAUUAAUGGAAGGUAGCACGUUCCAUGUAAUUAAUUGUCCGUAUUUCACGUUGAUUUGUUUUGAAUUUCUUGACCUGAGCAAAUUUUAAAAUUAAUUAUAUACAGAUAGGUCAUAUAGAAGCACAUCAUCAGCUAAUUAGGAUAAACAUAAAUAUUCAUGCCGUUGAGCCGUUCUUUUCUGACGAAUUAUCCCAUAAAAAUUCGUAGAGACUAUUGUCUUGCAAAGACUUGUCCAAAUUAAAAUUAAUUGAUUUAAAAGAAAAAAAACUAUUUAAUUAUAAUAAUUAUAUGGCAAUUGUCUUGUUUGGACUUUGGGAUCAGUUAUCAACUAAAGGUACUAUUUAUAAAAGCUCUCAUUCCUUUAUUUGUAUUUGUAAAUUAGAAAACUUGAGGAUCAUUUCUAUUUUAAAUUUUUAUUUCAACAUUCACAUUUUUUUUCUUUUUAUUCUUAGUCAUCCAUCUUAUUCUUCUGCCUGCUUAAAAAAAUUUUGAAUGCUUUGGCUUUCAUAAUCAUCCCCAAAUCUUGUGUUCACAAAAUCUCCCCAACACAAUAAAUUUUGUUAUCAAUUUAGCUGCUCACUGUGAUCCUGAAAAUCAUUAUUUUCACACUCGAUCAAAAUAACUUAAAAUAAAACAAAAUAAUUGGUUUCACACCAGAUGAAACAAAGUUUUAGCGAUGGGAGAGACGUAGCUACUUAUUCCAAUUGGCUAAUAUGUCACAAAUCUUCAAGGAGUUUACAGCCAAUAAUUCUUUAUUAAAUUUGGAAUCACUUUUUUUUUUCCCUCCUACAUUUCGAUAUUAUGUAGUGUAAAAACAAAUCCAGAUUUUACUGGACGGCAGUCCACGGAUGUCCGUACUUAUAAUCGAGUCACUCUCUCAUACCCUUUUUUGAUAUUAUGAGGCUAUAAUCAAUCUCUCAAACCGUUUUUUGAUAUAAUGAAGGAAGCUGAUAAUUCUAUAAAAUUAAACUGAAAAUGUCAAUACUAUUGUUUCACCAAAUUUUUGUCAAGAUCUAAUUCGAACCAAUCGAGUAGUUUUUACUGACUACAGCUCAAAUCUGAUUCAAACAAAUUAAUUUCUAUUUGAGGGAGCUUGUGCUAAAUUUGGAUUUAGGUUUGUUGAUUCUCAUAAUUAUAUUUUAAAUAAUUAUUUAUUCCCUGUUAUUCAAAAUCUAUUGGAUGAUAGAGCGAUUUCAGUGAAAGUAAUUUUUUAUAAAAAAAAUUAAAUAUUAAAAAUAACCUAUUAACUUUUCAAAAUCUGUAUUAAAGCUUUGUGACAUGUGAGUAGUUUCCCAUUCGAAAAUUGAAUUGUAAUAAAUUUUUAUAGACCAUGCCUCCCAUUUUAUUAGUAGGAUCAAUAGUAGAGAUUCAUUGUCAUACACGCACACACAAACUAAAUCUACCUCCUCCAGCCUUGGCCGAAGUGGUGGGCUGCUGCCCUCACAAUCUUGUGAGGGCAGCGGUUCUGGCCCCCACAAAAGUAUUGUGAGGGUUAAAUGUUCUUUAUAUUUAAAAAUCUUUCUUUCUUACGAAAUGCAAAUGGAGUAUGGACAUUCUUCUCCUGUGAGGGAUUAUUUGUCCGGGCAUGUACUUUAUAGAAUUCAUUGUAAUAAUAUAAGUCUCAAUCAUGUAUAUCUGAUUGUAAAUAUCAGUGUAAUAUCUCUGCUACACUAAGCAGUUGUUGUAAAUAUCUGUGUAAUGCAGUAAUCUGAUGAUUAAUCAGUAUUAAAAAAAAAAAUCUACCUCCUCCGUACGUACUUUUUCUUGUUAAAAAAUGUAUUCUGUCUUCUCCUGUUAAUAUCCGUCAUUUCGUAAAUUCUAAAAAAGGUCAGCACAGCCGACCAAAAGCACAGAGAACGGUGUGAAAAUGGAGUCAGUGAGCCGAAUGCAUGUCAACAUGCCAUUGGACGGACGGCAAAAUUGUGUUUACUUUUUUCAACAACCACAGUUUUAUGCUUCAUUUGCGCUUUUGCAUGAAUUCGCGUUUUAUUUUUUUUUUCUUUCUUUCUUUCUCAAAUGUACUGAUCAGACCUCUUUCAAGUUCUUACUUUCAGAAAAGAUCAACAAUUCAUACAUCUUUUGAACUAAAAUAGUAAAAUACCCGUAAAAAUUAAAACAAAGAAGACUCAAAACCCCAAAUUAGCACAAAUUGAUCGCCCACUUCGCGCAAUUGCACGCAACUAAUAGCUUCACCUCCGACGGCGGCUUCCGCCACUUCCGGUAAUGAUUUAGUGCAACCUGCACAUAUGACGGCUUCCUUCGUUCAAUGGCUGUCGACUGGACUUCAAGAUCGCACAAACCCGACUGAUCAGGACUUCCCUCGUUCAAUGGUAGCUUCACUUCCUUAAAGGGUUUUGUGUUCAAUUCGUAGUUAUGCUCCGCUUUGUUCACGAUUUUGCUUGGGUUUACUUCACAAUAUUGUUCCUUUUUUGUUGGUUUUGGUCAUUAAAUGUUGAAUAAAUUGUUUGUUUGAUGUACUAUUGCUGAUUGUUAAGCAUUAAUAUAUGUAUUGGAUAUGAAAAUUUUGAAAUUUUCUUAAGAUUAAGGUUUAUAAAAUAUGAUACAUCAGAUGCUUGUUAACAUGCCUGAGAAAUUUUUACUAUAAAAUGACUAUAGUAAAAUGAGUUUAAAGAGAAGAUUGGCGUCAGUGUUGCCUUCGAUGGUGUCAGCAUUUGCCCACGGGCGUCCCCAUGCCAUUGCUCAUUGCAAUGUGGGCGGCAAUAUGCUGUCUCCCGUUAUUUAUUUAUUUUUAUUUUUUAACAUUUUUAAGGGGAAAACAGUGUAGCAACAUUAUGUGGGAGAGGCUUAUUAGGCCUCAAAAUAAAUUUUAGAAUCAUAAAAGCACAAAACACACGGGAAAAAGGGGAUGACUUAUAGCAAAAAUGAAGCGAAUGAGAAAAUCAAACAAAAUAACAACUCAAAAAAAAAAAAAAAAGGCCACGCUCCCACUGCUUGGAUGACAUCAAUUGUUGUCCGGAUCAAAGCACUUGUUAAUUUGAGCGACAAAAAAAAAAAAAAAAAAAAACAAAAAAAAAAAAAAAAAAGGCCACGCUCCCACUGCUUGGAUGACAUCAAUUGUUGUCCGGAUCAAAGCACUUGUUAAUUUGAGCGACAAGUACUAAUUGCCCAAAUCAUAGGUAGUGUGUGUGAAUUCCCACCACGAGACACCAGUUUCUUUUUCCGAUCACGGCAAUGAUACAUGGCCAUGUUAAUUUAAAAUAUAACUUUUUUCACCGUCAUCCAUGCAUCAUGAUUAGUGGUAACAUGAACUUUUAUGAUUAAUGAACCUAAUGAUUAAAGAAAUUCGUCAACAGUCUUCAUUACAUUAAUUAUGCCAGAAAACUACCUCAAAUCUAUCAGAAGAUGAGAGAAUACGCAGAAACGAAAAAUUAAAAUCUCCAAGUCCGCCUGAAAUCAGGAUUUUGCGGCAAAGAUAGAAAGUUUCUUGGUAAGUGGGAUUUAAAAGCAGUGGAACAACAAGUGUUUAGGACGCGUCGUUCUCAUUCCCACAUGUAUCCGCUCAAUAGCUGUAACAAAGCAGCAAAUCAAUCAGCUUUCUUAGCCAUGGAUUUGGAUUCAGAUUUGCUUGCAGCCGCAGACCGUUUAUCCUCUGCCAUCUUUCCUUGAAUUUCAUCCCUCUCCUUGAAGUACCUUUCGAAGGCCCGAGGAAGGAAUAAUGGAAUCAGAAAGCAAAAUAGAUUACUAGCAAAGUAGGCAAGAUUGGCAACUGCAAGAACCCUCCCGAACCAAUACCAUGCCGCAUCCUGCACCGCAAACAUUAACCCAAUUCUAAGGAGCAUGACAUGUCGGAUUACGUGAAUGACAAGAAAAAGAUUGCCCAAGAAUGAAUUACCUGGACUUCCGCAUUUGCGGGCAGAGUUUUGUUAAACCACGCAUCAUUUAUCCAAUCAAUGAUAAGAAAGAGCCUCUUCACGGUAUAGAGCAACGGUACCAGCGCCCUCACUGGAGGUGAAAACAUAGAUAACCCGCUGAUAACAUUCUCCGUUAGUAUUUGAAAUGACAGCAAGAACAAGUGAGGUGUUGUACAGCGAACCGCAUCCUCAUCACCCCUUGCAAAGCCUCCCAAGACAUAUGCUAGUGGCAAGAAGAGCCCAAUUGUGGUGCCUACAACCACAUAGAACCUGAAGAAUUUGCCUCCGCGGAAUAGCUCCUGCGAACCAGAGGAAGAAUUACCGUGCGCAGGGAAGGCCAAGCGCGAUAGAGCUAUAAGGUAAGCCGAAGCAAAGGCAGGAAAGACUAAAUCUAGGAGAGGGACAAGCCCACUGGCUGAGAAAACUGUAAUGAACGCCACUAACUGGAGUUCUAUGACACGCAAUGAUCCCAUGACAUCCCCCCCAACUGCCUGUUGCUGCCGGGCACUGGGAGGGGGAUUCUGGUCAGUGGUUGUGGUUUUGUCUUUCUCAUUGCGAGGAACAGCAAGCGAUGCACCAGACAUAUGUCCUUUCACUUUAUGGUCCUUGAGGUUAAGGUGGAAAUAAUAAACUGCUUGCGUUUUGGUGCUAUUCAAAACCUGAAGAGAAACAUUACGACAGUAUGAAAUUCACAAUAAAUGGGCCAGAAAAUUAAACAGUAGUACUGUAAAUUUAAUUCAAAGUUAUCAUUGGACUGGUUUCCUAAUUAGGUAUCCAAUUUCACAUUUUUGGAAGAGAGGCUCCAUGAGAAGUGGUCACAAAAUCUUGUUACGAACAAGCUACAACAGAUGCAGUGAAACCCUAAGGAAGGUUCAAUUCAAUUUAAAACAAAAUAUAUAUCAACAAUUUUCAUGAACAAUUACCAGAUGUUCUGAAAAACGAUGAAUCUAAAUCACAGGGCUCAGAAGGAGAAGCUUUACAUAAAUAUUAAGCAGUGUAUAUGUUAAGCAACAAAGUAAUUUGAAAAAGUAAUAAGAGAGAGAGAGAGAGAGAAUUGAUGGAGAAAGAACAGAUCUUACUGAGGAAAAUGAGUGAGUGCAGGUGAUAAUGAAUCAUUCAAAACCAGAGCGUAGGAAUAGAGAGGGCCAACUUGUCUCGUGGGAAGAUUUCAUUUGCUUUACAAAAUUAUACCGAGCGGGCGGGGGUGGCCAUGCCACGCCCCUGGAAACAAUCUUUUGUUCUGACGUGUAGUCUUUGCAUUUGCGACACGUGGUUUUUGGGGUCAGCUGUGUGGCAGGGAUCUGCCACCUGUCUCUCUGUUUAAGCGGCGCUUUUGUUUAUCGUUUUGCUCUCCCGUUUUGACAACCAAGGGAUGGACCGGUUAAGUUUAACCCGAUCCAAAUAUGUGAAACCGAAGCUAAACCCAACCGUUUACUCAAACCCAAAGUUCAAACUUUAGGCACCCGUAUCCAGAUGUAUAAAAUGGUCCAGGCCGACACAAAACACGGCAUGAAAGUCCAAAUAGAUGUGUGCGACUGCGAGCUCGUUUAUUAGUAGUGAUUUACCCACACUUUUUUGCUUCGCCAUUGAGAAUUGAAGCCGCUUCUAAUCACAUUAUUUAUCUUAAAAAAUAAUCUUGAGAAUAUAUGCGCUCACAGCUCAGUCGAUUAUGCCAUUAAUUUGUGUAGCACGCUCCAUGUUCAUGAUCACCUGACUGCAUAUUUGCAUAGGCAGAAGAGAGAGAGAGAGAAAAAAAAAGAAAAAGAAGCUGAUCAAGACAGCCACCAUCCAAUGAAGAAUAUUUUGAAGAAACUUCGGAGCUUAUCUUUAAGGGAUGCUAAGCGCGAAGAACCUUCAAUGGAAGGACCGGUUUGUACUUGUCAACAUCCCUAUUAAUUUAUAUAUAUAUUAUCUUGAACUCAUGAACUGUAUACAUGUUGGCCUCAGGAAACGAUUGUGGUCUUGAAGUUUAAUGCCCACUGUCCUCAGUGUUGUAAGAAGCAAGUAAGGAAUUGCAUCAAGAAGGCUAGAGGUGGCAUGUGUCUGUUAACACAAUUUUCAUCAGCUGAAUGGAAGAAUAAAAUCAAUUUGAAUUAAUAUAUUUUUCCUCUAAUUUCUACCUUAUUAUUAUUUUUUACUCUUUUUUUUUUUUUAAAAAAAUUUAAGGAGUUGUAAGCGUAGAUGUAAAUUCGGAAAGAGAACAAGCCGAAGUUACGGGCACCUUCCGUGUUGAAAAUCUGAAAGCACACAUAUUCAAAGAUCUUCAUAAGCAUGUGGAGAUUGUGAGCCAAACUUUUGCAACCGGCGAAGGGUCCAAUGACAGGGACGACAAGGAGAGAGACAGUAGCAGCGAUGAUGAACUGCAUGUUGAAGAUUGAACGUGAAAUUUUCAUAGGAAUAAUUGAGAAGAUGGAUAAGAUAAGAAGAUAUAAAUAACAUCAAUUAUUCAUUUUUUUUUUCAAAUGACAAAAUUACCAGGCGCUAUUUUUCAAAUUUGUACAUGUCUUCUUUAAUUUAUAUUAAAUAAAUAAAUGAAUUAGAAGGAUUCUUUCGUUAGAUGCUGCUUGUAUAUUUAUAUAAUACAACCAUGAUAGGUACUUUAGGAGUUGAGUUCAUCAAAUCAUGAAUGAAUAUCCACAUUGUUGACCGAAUUAACAGAACGUUGGAGAAUGAAAUACUUAACGAUAUUAUAUUAAGGCCUUAACAAUAUUAACACUUAACAGAACAUCGGAGGGUGAAAACAUAGUUUUUUUUUUUUGAAUAAUAAAAAUAUAAAAGUGACGUGUAUCUUUUUUUUAAUUUAAUAAAUAAAAUAAAAAAUUAAUUGAUUGGGUUGGUUUAUAUUGAAUUUGAACACAUAUAUAAAAUAUAUAAAUCAAUCCAAAGACAUUGGAUUUUCCAUUUUGCAAUCCAAUCAAAUCCAAUAAAGUCAAAUUGACAACAUUUGAAUUAGUUUGGAUUGGAUCUUGAAUACACCAAUUUCUAGCUUGGAGUUUUUAUUUAUUUAUUUAUUUUUCAUCUUUUACCUAGUAAAUUCAUGAUAUUAUGUUGAAGUUAUAGAUUGAUUUGACGACGUGUCAUAUGAUGAGUUUUGCAAGGACAACUUGUUGUCAAAAUGUUAUAUAUGACAUAUCCUAAAAGGCAUCGAUGCAUAAUCUUUACUAGGUGUCAUAUGAGAAUUCUAUGGAAAAUGAUUUGUCGUCUGAUAAUGUUUUACAUAGAUGCGAUAUUGUUUACUAAUAUUCAAUUUCAAAGGCAGUCGUUAAACGUUUCUGACUUAUUACUCUUUAAGUUGAAAUAUUAAAAGAUUUCAUUUAAACUUCUGUUCUAAUCACCAAUUUCUAGUUACACGGACGGUAGAUCAAAAUUCUGCAAAUUUAAGUUACCAUCUCCCUUCCUCCUUAUACAUAAAAAAAAAAAAUUGUUGAAACAUAUCAGUGGUUGCUCAAUUAAUGAAAAAUUUUAAUUUGCAAUAAUUUUGAUUGUAAGUUGUUAAUUACAAGUUGAACCCGACAAAUUUAAGGGGCUACCUGUUUUGCCGAAGCAGCUUCUUUGCGCUUGUGAAGUGUUACUGCUGCUUGGACCAAUAUAUUAAGUGUGGAUGCCCUCAACUUUUUUUUUUAAUACAAACAUAUUGUUAAACCAUAUUAUUUAAUAAAAUUAAUUUUUAAUGUAAUAUAAAAUCGUAUAGUUAAUAGCAUGUUUUCAUUGACUUUUCUAAAUCACAUAGUUUAACAGUGUGUCCGCAUAAUGUUGAAAACAAAGGAGGAUUAAACUGCUCAAAAAUGAAAUUAUUUGAGCAACAAAAGAAUUUUACUAAACUCAACGACUUUAUUGCUAUUUUGCAAGAAAUACUAUACACAACUUACGGCUCACACUUCUUAUUUUCCCUUUUAUUAUUCACUCUUCACUUGAUACAUAACCAAAUGAUAUAAGGGGACAUUAUAGUACAUAAGAACACAUCUAAACGAUUCAAAUAAAAAAUUAUAAAAAAUUAAUAACCAUUAAUUUUCACCUGCCACUAAUAAUUUUACCUACCACACUUACCAUUAAUAAUUCAAAUUACCUCACCAAUCAUAUCUACUCAUAGAACCUUUCAUGGAUUGGUCUUAUUAAUUUGGGCUUAAUGAAAGGUACUGUUAGGCUUAUUUUUAACACAUAAAAAAAUGAGGGCACCUGACUGAGAUAAAGUAGUGUAUAAUCAUUUUAGGGAUAAUCUAAAAGAUAAAAAAACACAAAUUUUAAUACAUUAUAAGAUAAAAUACACUCUAUAUAAUUUUUUUUUUCUUUUUUAUCUGUUAACUUAUUCUUGACUUUAAUACCAUCAUCACAAAUCCCGCAUUGGACUAGAGCAGUAAGUUGGUUAAUUCUUCUUCUUUUGCUUUGCCCAGGCAGGCUGCGUUACCACCAAAAUGAUAAAAUUGAUUAAUAUCCGUGACCGUAAGCAGCUAAUUCGAAGAAGUGUUAAACCAAUUGACUUGUUACAAAUUGAGCAAGCAGUAUCAAAAAGGAUUCCAAAACCGUAGACAAUAAAUCAGUAGCCAAUGAAUUUCAUUAUGUAUAUCAGGAACUUGAAUUAGUUGUAAUCUCAGGGGAAAAAAGAAACUAUUUAUGAAGCUCAUUUGAGAAAGUUCAAUUCAAUUACUUACUAGAUUCGGCCGACGCCAUAUCUCGUUUUUCAUUUAGUAUUUCAAGAUUAUAUGAAACAGUAACAUAUGCUGAUGUUUCAUGUUCGGUAUAAUCCAUUGUGGCUAAUUAACCCAAAACAUUUUAUAACCGAAAAGAAUCAUUUUGCAUUCAAAAUAUUUCUCUUCUUAUGUAGUAGCAAUAAUUCCCUAAUUAUUGAUGAUAAUAAAAACUCAUACUAGCUAUGUACCGGCAACACUGAACUAUUUAUUUAUAUCCUGUUAACCUUUCUUCAUUCAACUCCCAAUCAUACUUGCAAUUUCAAAUCAAGCCACAAACAGAACAAUGGGAGAGGUAAUCCACACUAUACAUUUAUAAUUUUAGGCGUCGUGUUCUUUUUUUUUUUAAAAAAAAAAACGUUUUAAUUAAGGAUUUAUUUUUUUAUAUUAGUUGUUUACUAUGUAAAUUCAUAUUGUUUUUAGAGAAAAAAUAGAAGAAAAAAGAUAAAUGUGCCACAAAAUCAAGGCGACGAAGAUAAACAGUCACAAGAGAGAGUUGAGGAUAUUGUUUUGCAAGUUUACAUGCAUUGCGAUGGAUGUGCUACUAAAGUUGCUCACUGCCUCCAUGGUUUUGAUGGUAAUCUUUUCCUUUUUAAUCUCUUCUAUUAAAUAUAAAUGAAUACAUGGUUUUUUUUUUUUAACCUCACUUAUAUUAUGCGAUGAACUUUAUGAUUUAUUUUACGUUGCAUAACUAAAUUUUGUCUUAUCAUAUUUUAGGUGUGGAAAAAGUUAAGCUUGAUAGAGCAAACAAUAAGGUGAUUGUAAGUGGAGAAAAAGCCGAACCAUCCAAAGUUAUCGAGAGAAUUCGUAAAAAAUACAGUACAAAUGCAGAGCUCAUUUCUCCAAAACCAAAAACUAAUAAUGGCGAAGACAAGAAAGAGCCGCAAAAAAAACAAGUGUGUUUGUCAUUAAACCCUUUUUUUUUCAACUGUACUGUGUUGUCUAGAAAUUUUUAUAUUUUCUUAUUAAUUUUCUAUUCUAUCCAUGCAGCCUCAAGUGAAGGUCGUGAUCCUCAAAAUGUACAUGCACUGUGAAGGUUGUGCUCGUGAUAUUAAGAAAAAUAUAGCGAGAAUCGAUGGUAAUUUUGACAUCUAAAUUUAUUUAUAUAACUCAUUGUUCAUUAUUAGUUACUAUUCUUUUUUUUUUUACUCAUUAUUUAUCUUCAUAAUUUUCAGGAGUUUUAACUGUGGAACCAGAUAUGAGUAAAUCUCAAGUGACAGUAAAGGGAGAAUUUGAUCCACCAAAGUUGGCUGAAGCAAUCACAAAACGACUAGGAAAGUUUGUAGAGAUUGUGAAAGAAGAGGCAGCGAAGAGCAAGAAGAACCAUAAAAAGGAUAAUGAAAAUAAUAUGAUGCAUUAUCCUCCUCAACAUCCCUUUAAUAAGAAUUUUUAUAGCUGUCUCAGUGAUGAAGCUAUUCAUUCAUGCUUCGUGAUGUAAAUUAAGCUAUUUGAGUGAGCCAAUCUGGAAACAAGAAUAAAAUAAUGAGGAGGGUGACUUUUUAUUUUUGUGUGUAACUAAAGAUGAUUAUGAAUGAUCCCCACUAAACACAUCAUUUGGGAGGGGUAAAGAGUCUUAACUGUGACUACACUCCGAAUCCGGAUUAGUCGGGGCCUAAUGCGGUUGCCAGAAAUCGAGUGGUUUAAACAAAAAAAAAAAGAUGAUUAUGAAUAACCAAAAAAAUAUAAUCUUAAAAAUGGCAAGACUCGUGAGGUUUUCAAGUUUAUGACUCUCUUAUCGUUUAAUAAUUAUACGAUAUUAUUUAAUUACAUAGAUAAUACAGGUGAUAUAAUGUUGAUAUUUUAAUGUAGGGAUGAUUUUAAACAGAAAAUGAAAAUAUAGCAUGUAAUGCACACCUCUUUAGACUGAUCUAAUUGGAAAUAUAAUUAAGUACAUGUUAGUUAUAUUCAUAGAUAUUAAAAACUAAUAUUCUUCUUAAAAAAUAUUAAGAUAUAAUAUUAUAUCUGUGUUAAUAAAUUAAAACUUUUACCAAUAGAAAGGACGGCAUUGUAAAUUAAUUAAUUUUGUCUUCAUCAGACCUCUUCUAUUUUAUUUUUUUAAAUGAGAAAUUAAACAUAAAUAAUACAAUUCCAUCUUUAAUCUAUUAUCAAUGUGAUCAAUAACACUAAUAAAAAGAUCUAUAUUUCAACUAAUAGUAUGACAUCAAUUAGUGACAAACAUAUGUUAAGCAAUUGUUUUUAUAUGAUCGUUAAUGUGAUAAUUAUGUGCAUUAAUUAAUGAGUAAUAUAUCGAAUAUAUGACAUGCUCUAGUCAAUGGAAAAUGUGAAUUCCUUAUAUGUGAAAAUGGCUUUUCUUUUAUCGGAUUGUUUUUAUUUUCUAGCAGUAUUAUUUCUUCUUCCCCGACAACGAAUAUUUCUUGACGUCGUUAAAAUUUUCAAUAAAUUCAAUUAUUUAGGUCAUGAUGAAAGUUAGUCUUUUCAAAGGAAGCGAUCCGGUGAACAUCAAGCCGCGUGGGCAACUCUAAUUCGGAGAAUUGUGGUUGAAGUUUUCCCAAUGAACACUGGACAUGUGUAGAUAAAAAAUCCUUCUCUUAAAAUUGUGAUUUUUGAAGGAUUUGACUCUAUACUUGUCAGCAUUUUGUAAAUGCUUAGCUAAAUAUAUGACAAAUUUUUUUAAAAAAGUUGUGCGACUUUUCCAAUGAGUUUGCAAAGUCUAAGAGAUGUUCUUUCUUGAGAUGUUAUCUUCUAAGUUUGGUUUGAGAAAAACAAAGAAAAAAAAAAAGAAAAAGAAGAAGAAAUGGGUCUUGGGGAAAAAAAUAAAUCAAAGGUUAUUUUUGAGAUGUAAUAUGGUGUAAAUAGAAAAGUUUGAUUUUUAAAUUUUACAAGAGAGUAUUCUUAGUAAUUGAGUGUUUUAAGUAGUUUUUAAGGGGUCCAACUCGGUACCACAGCUGCACCAAACCAUCGGAUUCAGUUAUGGUGAUAAUUGUAGACUGAUCCAAUGGUUAGGUGCAGAUGUGGUACGGUACCACAAUUGUACCGUAAUUUUGUCCGUUUUAAAGUAGGUUUUCUAAAUCAUUUAUUUAUUUUCUAAAAAUUAUAAAGAAUGAGUGAAUAGAAAAAAUUACAUUGACUAAAUUUUACUACUUAAACAAUGAAAAAUGAUCCAUUAAGUACUAGUACCUAACAUAGAAUAAGUACUUAAAUAUUUAGUAAAAUUCAAUAAUUAAUUAUAAAUAAUUCUAUAAAUUACAGCAUCACAUAACAUCUGUCAUUUAAUAGAAGGUGAACGCAAUGAACCACUAAAUCAUCACCCUUGUCAAAUGUAGCCGUUGAGAUUUCAUUUAUUUAUUUAAAAUAGCCGUUGAGAGACUAGUAUCCUCAUUGCACGAGUAUUCCCAUUGGAUAGUUCGAAACAUGUGGUCCCACAUAACUGACGUGUUUUGAUUCUAUUGGGUAUCAAGCAAAACUCUACGCAUCGUGGCUCACCUACCAAAACCAAAGCAUGUUCCCAACAGAGCGAAGGACUAGAACUUAAAAAGCAAAAAAAAAAAAAAAAAAAAAAAAAAAAAAAAAAAAAAAAAAAAAAAAAAAAAAACUAAUAACGUCUUUUUUUUAAAGAAACUAAUAACGUCUUUUUUUUUUUUUUAAAUAUUCACCGUCCAUCCGUUUUUUACAUAUUUUUUAAAAAUAUAUAAUUCUUUUAUUUUUUUGCUGAAAUCCACCUAAAGUUACAUUUUAUUUCACUUUUCCACUUCCGUUUAAAAUCCGUUAACAAAACUAACAAAAACUUAAAAAAAUAACCAUUUUACCCCCAAAACGAAAAUUAUAAUUUCACCUUAAAAAUUACAAAAAAUAAUCAGAUUAAAUCUAAUUAUUUUUCCCAUUAGUCAAUAAAGAAAUUAAUUCCACAACCAUCAAAUGCAGGUUUUUUUUGGCAUUUUUAGAGUGAAAUUGUAAUUUUCAUUUUGGGGGUAAAAUUGUCAUUUUUUUAAGUUUCCGUUAGUUUUGUUAACGGAUUUUAAACGGAAGUGGAAAAAUGAAACAAAAUGUAACUUUAGGUGGAUUUCAGUCAAAAAAUAAAAGAAUUGUGUAUUUUUAAAAAAAGUGUAAAAAAUAGGUGGACGGUGGAUUUUUUUUUUUUUUUUUAUAAAAACUUAUAACGUCUUAUUUCCAAAGAAAUAUUUUAUAAAAAAAAUUAAUAAAAUAAAACUUGGGCUCAGGUUUAGUGGUCAUGGUCCACAGGCUUGCGUUAGCAUCUCAAACAGUCUUAUUUCUUGAGACCCUAAACACCCCCAGAUAUUAACACGUGUCAUAUAACUCUCCCGCGUUGACAUCUAUCCGUUAACCCCACUCCCUCCCCUCUCUCUCUCUUUCUCUCUCUUCUUUCUGCAAUCCUCUUUCUUUGAAUCAAAGAAGAGAAGAGAAAUCUUGAAAAUUUAAAAAACAAAAAAGAGGUUAAAUUGCAAGAUAAAUUCAAAAGAAAGGUUGUAAAUUUCAAAUGGGUAAAUUGUUGUGCGACUCCACGACCGUUGCUGCGGAGACAUUUCAAACUGCAUCACCAACCGUAAGUUGGAGAGACCCGUCGCCGACCGUCGAUCUUGUUGACCAGUCAGCCGACGUAACGGCCUCCACGACAUCAAUUGGGGUCGCCGCGUGGGGGGAAGUGAUAGGUCUAGAGGAGCAGCAGAGGCGGCAUUUGGAGAGGCUCCACUCAAAGGGGGUUCUUUGGAAGCACCCGGAGGACCAGUCGCGGUCGAUCGUGUUUAAGCUUUCCCACGGAGGGGAGGUGUCGGCGGAUGGGAACUGUCUUUUCACGGCUUCUCAGAAGGCGAUGACGGCGCGUGAUGUGGACGCGCGGGAGUUACGGAGGCGGACGGUGAGGAGGUUCUUGGAGGAUCUCGGAUCUGUGGGUGAAGGCCAGAGAGAAAUGAUAAAUGACGCGAUUAGGCACAUGUACUCACCGGAUCUGAAGAACGGGUGGGGAAUCCACGUAGUCCAAGAAGUGAAAUUGUUGGCCAAGAAAGAAGAUCGGGUCGGGUUAGACUCCGCAAUCGAUGAGCUCGUUCAGCUCGGCAUGCAAAGGUACUAUUUUAUUUUUAUUUUUUUUCAAAAAAAAUAGAAAUAUUAUAUUUUCUUUACAUGCGAGUUGGUCUGUUUUUUGGGUUAGAUUUGGGGCUUAGGCUGUCUGUUUGUUUGACAGGAAAAUCUUGGAAAAGGAAGUUACUGUAAAAUUGAUUUUUUAUUUUUGGGGAUUUAUUAACCUUUUUUCUCCUGUUAUUUUAAAUGGAUUAAUUACAAAUAUUUAUUUCUAGAAACAAAAAAUAAAUAAUCAUUAUUUUUGGUCAGCAAAAACUGAAAAAUUCAACUGGAAAUGGAUUCAUUUGUAUUAUUUUUCUUUGUUUUCUUAGCAAUCAGAAAUGAGUUUUAUUCUCUCCUAUUGGUUAUCUUGUUGAUAAUUUACGCACUUAUGGUUCUUUUAAUAUUGCGAAUGUUAUUUUGAUUGUUGUAGCAGCUAGUUAUUAUCUGUUUUUUUUUAUUAUUUACUUUUUCUGAUUGAAGAGAAAUGGCGGCUGAAUCUAUAUACAAAGAGAGAUGUAUUCUUGUGAGUGAUGGUCCGAGUUGGGCCAAGUACAUGUUGAUCUCUGGUUCACAUGAUGAUGAAUAUGAUAUCAUCACUUUGCAGUAUACUGAGGACGGUUUAUUGUCGGUAGAUGAGAACAGAGAAGGUCACGCUGCAGCCUUUGGAGAUGAUAUAGCUAUUGAAUGUCUUGCUACAGAGUUCAAUCGAGAGAUAUAUGUGGUGAGGAAUUUGUUGCUAGCUCUGAAAUUUUCUUCCCCAAAUCUUUUGAUUUUUGGAAGUUCAUGUUUUUCAUAUCGAUUGCAAGCUGCUUUCACGAAUUUGGUUUCACUUUGUUGGUUAACUCAAGUUUGACUCUGGGGCUACUGAAUGUUUAUUGGUGCAUACUGUAUCAAUAUAUGUUUCAGUAAUGUACAUGCGACUGGAUUAAGAUGUGAUAUUAAUUUGAAGGAAUAGAUUCGAACUACAUGCACAAGUCAUGUUAACCCAAAUGACUUUUGCUGCUGGAAUUCAGUAUCUACAAGUUCAAUCAGUUUGUAAUCGAUUGUUGCUUUGACAUUUGGGCCAUAUCUUGUUUCUAUUUUUAUGGAACCUGUUCUGACGUACUUAGCAAGAAAGAAAUGCUUUUCAGUGUUCUUUUCUCACACUGCACAGUUUGUUGCAAUGUCCACUUCUCUUGUUAUUGGGCCUCUUUUAUGAAGUUCAUGGUCAUUGCAUCUUUUCUUUUCCCAUAAGAAUCUCUUUACUCUCUCAAUUAUGUAGCAGUUCCUUCCUGUUUAGUUUGGAUUACUUCGGCAUGUUUCUGUUACCACCAUCGACUGUAAUGAUUGAUAGCUUGUUUCAGACUCAAACCUUUUUUCUCUUGGUGUCAACUUAAAACUGCCUCCCCUCCUUUUGAGUCUUUCCCAUUUUUCUAUGUUAUAAUAUUCAGUAAAGCACUCACUUACAGCUUGUUUCACUUUCCCUCUUGUGUUGAAUUUUCUAAGAUACUAUAGUGUAUUGAUGUGAACUUAUGCAUUUCACUGGGAAGUUUAACCCUCUUGCUUUGCAUUUAUGAGCUAUAGGUGAAAAGAAAAUUAUUUUUAUCUCAUUAAAAGAGUUGUCAUUUUCUGUGGAAUCUGGAAUAUGUAGUUUGUGCUUUUGCUCUACAUUGUUGAAUCAGUUGGGUUCUUUUACUUUAUUCAGUAAUAUAUUUUCGCAUGGGAAGAGUUCCUGCUUUUGCUGAACUUGGCAACGAGAGGCACAGUUAUGUGAAUCAAGUUUUCUUGUCUUACUUGUGUGAUUGCAGGUGCAAGCACAUGGAUCUGAUGCGAUGGUUGAUGAAGAAAAUUGUGUCUUUUUCCUCCCGCAUCGUCCAAGGAGCGACAUUUGUGAACCUCCAAUUUUCCUAUUCAUGAAAGGAACAGGUAACUUAAGUUUUUUGGUCUUUAACAUCUCCACUCUGUUGAUUCUUGAACAUCCCCAUUCACAGCUUGAAGUAUUUCCUCACACACAGGUUGGUGUGGUGCUGGAGCUGAUCACUAUGAACCAUUGAUAGCCAAUGCUUGUUCGGUUAUCUCCCAUGAGAAGGUUGCUAUGGUACUUUAGGGGAGAAUAAUCAUAAAUUUUUGUGGCUUAGAUUAGAAGUAGAGCUAUUCUUUUACCCCCCCAUCCAUGGCUUGCAGUUUAGUUCUCCUGAUUCUUUAUGGAGUCACAAUGAGAGCUUCAUUGCUUAAGAGUUAAAUUUUUGUGUCAACAUUUUUUAGAGUUGGUCAUCAAUGACUCUGACUUGCAGAUUCCGUGCCUGCUCUUAAGCCUGUAGUGCUUCUGUAGUUUUUUUCUUCUUUUUUUCCCCUUUUUUUGUGCCGGAUUCUUUUGUUCUUUUUGAGUAAUUUUCUCUUGGGGGAGGGGUGCUUGUACUGUCUUGGUGCUAUUGUGUGGAAGCUAGAAUAGUACCGUUUCUGUUGUAUUCUAUGCUGCACUUGGAUUAAGUCUAUGAGAUAAAUGUCUAUUUUAGUUGGCUAAGUUUGUGUAAAGAGAAGGAAGAGGCAUCUCUUAUUGUUGUUUUGUUUUUGAACAACAAACUUGUAUGUUUGCCAUGCCGAUCAGCCCGAUCCCCUAUUUUCAAGCAUUUUCCCAAAUCUCAGUGUCGCAAAAUCUUGCCUGUGUCGCAAAAUUCCGCCAAGACCCGAGAGAGUAAUCAAUCGAACUCGCUGGAAAAUCACUCAUCAAGCGCACUCGUCGUGUGUUAUAUUAUGCCACAAAAUUAACGCCACAGUUGUAGCAUAUACAGAGAACAAACACCGGUCUAUAUAACUCGACUACGUAACUUUUAAGGGUCGACCGAUUAUUUUUGUAAUUUUAUUUGAAAAGUGACACGUGACAUAAUAUAUGAGGUAGGGUACAUUUUAUUGUGAUAAACAUAACCACACAGUAACAUUACAAGUACACGCAGAAAUGAACACACACCAACAUUACAAGUAUACAAGCAGUCCAAAUCUAACAAGACCCAACUCAAAAAUUAAAACCAUACGAAACACCUAAAAUCAAAGAUUGGAAAACCCUAAACACCCCUCAUUUCACCUGCCCCUGCUCGCCGCCUGUACUACGUCGGACUGCCGCCUCACUUUUCCGGAUGAAAGGUUUGAGUUGCUUCUGUUUCUGCUUCUGCUUCUUUCACUGUUGAUUUAUGCGCUGACUCAGAAAUUUGGAGAUUAAAAUAUUCUACGAUUAAAGAUUUCAAAUUUCUCUCUUUUAGAUUUUGUGUAGAGUGAAAUACUUACAUUGAUUAAUUGAUGGCCAACCAUCUUAUGUCAAAUGUAAAAAGGUCAGGGUCAUGAUUAACUUGGUCUGAUAGCAUAGGUUUCUUCAUUUUUAGUUACGUGAACUACAUUUUGCCCUCUACUUAAAAUGACAAUCUUUAAUAUAUCCAUUCAGAAUCUGAAAAAAUUAAUUUACUUUCAUUUAUUGAUAAGAUAAAAAUAGAAUAAAUUGAGGUUUUAACACUUUUUAGGAUAGAUCAAAGAUUGACGUUUUAUUGAGUAAACUGAAAUUUAUUUUUUUACUUAGGUCUUGUCUAGGGGAUUGAGGUUGGGUAAAAGGUACGCUACUAAAAGUGUUUAGCAAAUACUAGCUAUUGUAGCCUGAAAGCUAAGUUGAUUUAAUUUUACAUGUAUAAUAUGAAAAUUUUAUUAUAUCUUUACUAAUUUUAUCAAAAUUAUUAUAUAAGAACUAUUUUUAUUGCAUACUAUUAAUUUUUAUUUUAUAGUUACAUUUUUUUUCUACAAUAGAUGUAGUUUAAAAGUUACAACACCAUAAUACCAGAUAACCUUUAAUUGUGGAAGUUAGAAUAUAUAACCUUAUCUUAUCUUGUCUGCUGCAGAAAAAUGCUGCAGAAAAAGACAAUUAAAUCAAGUCACAUACGAAGAAUUGCUUUUCUCACAAUUAUGUCUUGAUUUGAAUAAUAAUCACGAAAUGUGAUUCUUCUCCACUAAUUCAAGCAUUAGAUGCUGAAACUAUAUUUGUACUAAACGUUCUUCAUUCAAUGUGUAAUAAUAAAGUAUAUUGGCCAAACAGAGAUAUGGUUGUUCCUCCACCUCGUAGGCCACUCAAAACUUACCAACCUUCUGAGCCAUAUGUACUGAAGAUGCACCUCACUAACAAGUAUGUGAGUGCGCAAGUGGUCCACUCACCAACGGCCACGGUAGCUUCUUCUGCAAGCUCCCAGGAAAAGGCCCUGAGGUCUACAAUCGGCUGUACUCGGGAUGUGGCAGCUGCUUCCAAGAUUGGGAAACUACUGGGUGAGCGUCUCCUUCUCAAGGACAUACCUGCUGUUUCUGUUUUCCUUAAGAGAGAACAAAGAUAUCAUGGUAAAGUGAAAGCCAUUAUCGAUUCUCUGAGGGAAGCUGGUGUCAAAUUGCUUUAGAUUCACUUUCCCUAAAUAAUUAUAGUAGUUCCUGCCAAUCAUUUCUGUGAAUAGUUCCUUGUGGUGAUGAUCUGUGGAAUGAUUAUCUGGUGGGUUAUAUUAUGUUUUUCAUGAUUUUGAGUUCAUUUGUACUCAAUUUGCAUACCCAUUAAGUGUUUUCUAGGAACUUGUAUAGUUGUUUGUUUUCAUUUGAAAUAAUUCUUUUCCUUUGAAGAUUAAAAAUAACUGCAGUUCGUUAUUUUCUCUUCCAAUUCCUAUCUUCUUUGUACCCUUUGCUGCAUGCAAGUUAAAUUAUACUUGUGCUGCUUUUUGUUUCCUUGCGUUAAAUUAUUAUAACUUGAAAUAGCGACUUAAAUUUUCAUCAUUCAAUUCACUAGUAGAUUAAUAAGAACUUAAAAUAGUAAUUUUUUUUUUGUUUUUAAGCUUUAAAUCCAUAUCAUUAGAUUGAAUAAAUUCGGUGGAUGAAAUUUUAAGUGAAAAAUGAGAAGGAAUCCCACCCAUAUUUAGCUUGAUAUUGCCCACUAUUUGCGUGUAAUGGUGAUUGUGUUGGGACUUGGGUGGUUUUGAAGACAGCCUAACCCUAUGAUAAAAUUGAAUAAUUGAAUUUGAUUUUUACAUGCCAUAAAAAAGGAAAGAGGAUAAAUAUCAAGAUAUUUUUAUCGUAUCUUAGUACCAUAAACGCCUUUUAAACCAAACACAUGGCAGAAAUGUAGUUCUCAAUUGACGAAAAUGUAACCUUUUCUAAUGCUUAAAAAAUUUUCCCUUCCUUUUAAGGACCUUCUUUUCUAUGUAGUUCCAUUUACUUCCAAACACAUGUACUCCAUCCCUUUCUCUCUUACAUUAAGUAAAGGAUCUUUUCAUAAAGGGUAAUAAAAAAGAUUCCUUCAUUUUACAAAAGCAAUAUACCCAUUCGCUGAACCUUCAUUUUCAACAUUGCAUUUUUUCAUUUGGGUUUACUUUGCUUUUGAUGAAUCCGUUGUCAUGUUUAUGUGGGGUUUUAACUAAGUGACCAAAUCGUUCUACAAUGUUUUAAUGAAUGUAAAUGUAAUGAUUCAUGCAGUAGUGCAUUUCCUUUUCAAUCACCUUUUUUUCUCUAUUCAACAAACGUGCUAUACCUAAUGCUUCAAUAAUGGAAGAAAAAAGCAAAGCAAGUUAAUAGAAAAAGAAUGGCUUAUUGGCAAUCCCAACCGCCAUUUUUUCAGCAAGACUACCAGCCUCUUCCAAUGUGCACCCAUUGAAGGCAAGAUAAUUUAUGGCACAAUUCAUGGUAUCACUACAUUUCUUUUAAUUAUAAAAAUCAUAAUUUAACAGCUAAGUUGUCACAAAUAGAUUUUAUUUUACACUAAUUUGAGAAUUAGUUUCUCCCAUACUUAUUAUAAACAAAAUUCAAAAUAGAAAACCAUCAACAACAAAUUUAGAAUCAGAUGGAGGCUAGUUAGAGAAUGAUUACACCACAACAUUAGAUAUAUUGAAAAUGCUUCCACCCAUACUCUUUCUCUUUAAUUAUUAAAUUUAUUUAAGUUCUCAUUUCUGUCUCCUAACUUAUGAUAUAUUAUGUACAUUAUUAUAAAAUUUAAAAUGUCAACAAAAUUAAAAAUUAAAAAUAUUUUGAACAAAAAGUGGGCGGAUGUUGUACCAAAUAAUGUUGCAUUGAAAAUGUAACCCGGCUAAAUUUAAUUUAAUUUUUUAAAAAAUAAAAAAUAAAUGGACACAUGUUCUCAGCCAGCCAUGACUUUUCAUAAAGUAAUUAACAAAAGCAGCAAGAAUACGCCAAAGUGAAUCUCAAAAAAAAUAUCCCACAAACUUUUUUCGCAACUAUAUAAUUCGCAUUUGCCUUCCACUUCUAUGUUCAGUCAGCUGAUGUGUGAAUCCUCAUCUAUAACCAUAAGCUGCAGCUUUAACCAAGUACCCCUUUCAAAGUUUCCAAAAAUCGCCCGUAAAGUAAAUAUUAGUGACAAUGGAUUCAAUGAAGAAGAUUCAGAAAAAGGGUUGCUAUCUUUACAAUAUGAUGCUUUAUUCUCUGACAGGAUUGGCUUGCAGUGUGUUUUGCUGCCAUGCUUAUAGGUUUUGUUCUUUGAGUUGUACUUAUUGUUCCGUGGAGCAGUUCUUGUUUAUGCAUGUUCCUCAUAUUUGGUCUUCGUUUUCUAGCCCCAAGUGCAUAUUCAUAAUAGCCAAUGUCAUCAUUGCCUUUCUUGUUGGGGAAUCAAAUUUUAUGGGCUCUUCUGCAAAUUCAUCAUCUCCAGCUACUGACCUUUAUGAUGAGUACGUUCAGAGAAGCAGAACAAGGCUCCGAGCCAGAGUAGCUGCCCAGAAAAUAGACGAGAAAAAACCUCAUGAGCAGAUUGUUGAGCGGAGCGUGAAAAGGGUUCAUCAAGUUAAAGACGUGGACAAAGGAAAACAGACAAAAGUUGAACAAGAGAAAGAAAAAGAUGAUGGAGAUCAAGAAGAGCCUGGAUUGCCGGCUGAGGAGCUCAAAAAGAGGGUUGAAGAGUUCAUCGCAAGGGUUAACAAGCAAAGGUGGCUUGAAGAAAGAAAAUUAAUUUGCUGUAAGGCAUGAACUAAAUACUGAUAAUGAGUAAAUUAAUUAAUCAAAUUAUAUACGCAUAUAUAUAAAUUUUCAGUUUGUAGAAAUUAUUUGUAGGUUUUGUAUAAUUAUGUAGCGACUAUAUUUCUUUUCGUUGUUUUUGUAAGAUGAAGAAAUUAAGAUCUUUCUCUGAGUACAGAUUGGGAUUAUAUAUUUGUAACCGUAAAUUAAUAUGCUAAUAAAAAUAUUUAAAUCCAUCCAUCAAAGUGGAUUCAACGACUGGAUGCAACAGUGGUACCGUACCACCAUUGCACCGUAGCCGGACUCCAUAGAUAUUAUUACUUCUUAGUCUUGCUUGCCUAUUCAACAAAUAUAAGUACUAAAGGGUGAAGAGUGGUUUCAUUAUUAGUUAUAUUACUUUUAAGAACUACAUAUGUUUACGAUGUAAUAUUAUACAAUACAAUCUUGAUAUUUGCG
rnacentral:lncRNA from 1 species